UAAUCGAGAAAAUCUGUUGUGUCAUCAAAUUUGAACCCUCUGCUGAUGGAGGUUCAAUCUGCAAAACCACUAACACAUACUACCCCAAAGGUGGUGCUCAGAUCGGUGAGGAACACCUCAAGGGAGGAAAAGAGAUGGGUUUGGGAAUGGUUAAGGCUGUUGAGGCUUACCUCCAUGCAAAUCCUACUGCCUACAACUAAUUAUAAUGAAUGCUACUGAAGGACUCUUCGACAUAUUUUCUUCAAGAUUGAAGUACACACUGAGGGUGUGUUUCCUUUUUUGCUUGGUUUGCUUUAAGCUGUUUGGUUAAGUUAAAAACAAAAUUGAAUCAUAGAGAGAACAAAAAAAAUAUAGUGUUUCUUAUGGAGAAAAAAAUGGAGCUGAUGCCUAAAAUCUCACAUGGAUCCAACAAGGAUAUGCUCAAAGUUGGAAAAAUGUGCUAUAAUUAUGAUUACUCCUUUAUGAAAUAAAGCUGAAAGCAGCUCAAUUUCUUUUUGUUUUCCAUAUUAUUCAAUUUCGUUGUCGAUUUUUGAUAGUUGUAUUUUUUUUAUUGCUUUAAUAAGGGCUAUGAUUGGAUAUCCUGUUAUGCCAUUGGCUGUCGAUGCUAAACCUGAUAAAUUAGAUGGAUCAUCCAAAUAAAGACAAAAUUGGCUAUGUAAACAUUGGUGAGGGACUAUUUCAGCUUAAGAAAAAUAGUUGAGGGACUAAAUUGGCUUAUAAUAAAAUUAGGGACUACUUCAGCUUUGUAAAAAUAGUUGAGAGACUAAAUUGACUCAUAAAAAGUUUAGGGACUAUUUUGACAUUAACGAAAUAGUUUUGAGACUAUAAACAUUAGGUCACAAUGUUGAAAUAUCAAAACCCAUGUUUGGGACCAAAACUCAUAGAACUUCUUCACGUCGCUAGCGAAAUUUGAUUCUGAAGUAAUGCUAAUUUUAUUUAUUAUUUGUUUCCUUGCUGGUCUUCUGUCUUUUUGGUUACAAUAUUAAAAUGUAUCCAUAAUUUUCAAUUCCAAAAGUGUUGAAUAUUUAAACGAAUUCUAGAAAGGGCACUGAGAGUCAAAAUCUUAUUCAAACAGCCAGCCAUCUCAGAGUACAUAUUUUUUUAUUAUCAGGUUCAAAAUGUAUCUAUUGCAAUUUUUGAAUGAUCAGCCAUGACUAAGAGAAUAAAAUAAUUCACUUGCUGUUUUUAGAUGUGAAUUCAUGACUGUCAGUAGUCUAUAAAUACACUUAUUGCUCACCACUCUUUGCACCGCAAAAUCUUUUCAAGAUCUAUCAAACCCUCCUGUUCUUGAUCUUUGUCCAUUUGUGAAAAAGCAAAUUAAAGCAUCAUGGCCUCUAUCACUUGUAGUGCUGAGAUGACCUCCCCAAUCCCUCCUGCAAGGUUGUUCAAGGCCGCCAUCCUUGAUGACCACCUUCUUCCCAAGAUCAUGCCACAGGCUAUUAAGAGUGGAAAUCCUUGAAGGAGAUGGUGGAGUUUGAACCAUUAAGUUGAGCACAUUUGGUGAAGGUUAGCAGUUAUAUUAAAUGUAGAACCCAAAUUUUAAGGAUCUAAUAAUAAUCAAUGCGUGCAGGGUUACAGAAUUGGAGGGAUAAAAUAAAUACUCAAAAUAUACGUGGAAGAAAAGAAAAUAAUAAAUUCAACUCAUAAUAUUAUUGAAAUUUCAAACAAUGAAGAAAAUCAUACCACAAUAAAUUCAGCUGGUUCUAAUAAUAAUCAAAGCAUACAAGGUUGCAGAAUUAAAAGGAUAAAACAAACACUCAAAAUAUAUGUGGGAGAGAAGAAAAUAAUAAAUUCAACACACAAUAUUACUGAAAUCUCAAACAAUGAAAAAAGUCACACCAUAAUAGAAAACCUUGCUAAUUCUUCUAGAUUCUUUCUCUUGAGAAACCAACCUAAAUAAUGUCCUAUUUAUAAUCUACCAAACUUGUUAGGAAAGAAACCACUUGCAUAAGAAAUUACCAAAUAAAACAGAAAUUCCUAAAUCACACAACUACUAAAAACAUAACUCAAAUAAAACUAAAAAUAAAUAAAUAUUUCUUGGCUUAGUUUAAUUUGUCAACAUUGCCUCCCUUAAACCAAACUAUCCAUUGAGAUAGGUUCAACACCAUCUCGAGCAAUAAUUUCUAUGUUGUAGUACACUUGACAUGAAACUCUAACUUGUUACCAGUUAUUAAUUUCAUUUUUACAUGUAACAAUGGACGCACUAUGUAUUUUGUAAAAAAUUUCUCAGCAAUUUCUUCUUGAUCAAAGUACUCACUUAUACAAACACAUUCAUCACCAGAAUCACCAUAUUUACCACCAAUGUAAGUGCCUAAAAAUACAAAAUCAUAGAUUGCUUUCUGGCUAAAAUUAUCAUCACCAAAUAAUUCAAAAUAACCACUACUACAAUCAUCCAAAAUUUUCAUACUGUCAGUCAACUCUUUUGGAGUAAAGUAUUUUUCAACUCCGAUGACAUCCAUAUCUAUCAAAUCAAACAUUCUCCCAUGACUUUGAAGAGAGUCCGCAACCAACGAAUUUUUCAACAACAAUUUCAUGUUCUCUUCUCUUAUCAAAUCAAAAUUUUCUUCUUCUUUUGUCAAAUUACCAUUUUAUUUUUUUCAACAAAUUCAUUACUUCUAAUUUCUCCAAACAAGGUACGCAAAUCAAAACUAUCAAUUGAUUCAAAAUUUUCAAUAUCACCCAUAUUAUCAACAAAUCUAUCAUUUUUAAAAUCCACAAACUAAUUCCAACAACUAGACUUCGGUUUGAAAGCAUAAUUUCUCUCAAUCGUGUGCAAAACAUAGUAAAUAUUCUUCCAAAAUCUCUAAAGUAUUUUAGUACAACCAAUAAAGGUUUUAUAAAUACUUUUUGCCAUUAAUUUAUGCAUCACUUGAAAGAAUAAUUGUGCCUUUUUCUUAAAAACAUGUUUUGCCAACUUACUUGCGUCAACCCAACAAAGAAUAUCAUCCAAAUUACAUUGUUUGACAUAUUUUUCCACUGUUAAAAUCCAACCAAAUAUGUAUGUAUAUUUGUGCUUAUAGGAGUCAAUAUGAAAAAUUUUUCACCGUCAAUCAGAUCUUUAUAAUAUUCCAUUAUUUAACAAUUUGUAUACCUGAAUAAAUUUUUUUCCUCCAUCCUGUCAUGUUUUCUUGGCCUCCCUGGUUGACUAACCAAAUUAUUGUUGUAUGUAUACCCAUGCUCGUCAAACCUCAUUCGUGUACACUCGUAAGGAGUGGUUCUGAGCUUAUUGUGAAUGCUCAGUACCAAGAAGUAGAAGAGAGAAUGCAUAAGAGAGAAUUAACUUGGCUAAAGAAUUAGGAAACAAUUGAGGGAUUUUUUAAGAAAUUAAUUCUCCAACUGCCACUUUUGGAAAUUUUCUAUCAACAACUAGUUACCAAAACACUAGCACAUAGUAAGAAAUCUGGAUAAUUUCAGAAACCUCCCUUGAGGCUUUUAAUAAUCUCGAGAAGCUCCCCUCAAUUUUUAAAAUUGCACGUACCAUCCCUAUUGGUGCAAAAGUACUCUACUACCCCUAAUAGGAUACUCAAAAGACUUUUUUUAUGGGAAAAAAGAAGGCCAGAAAUCCAAGCGAAAACAAAAAAAAUCAAUUUAUUUUCUCUUUUAGCCUUUUACGCUUUUGCCUUCUACCUUUGCUCACUUUCCCAUGCCAAUCUUCCUAUAACCACUUUCCCAAUCCCCUUUCCCCAACUUUUCUUCUCUACUUCAAGACCAAUUUUUGUCCAUCAAUCCUGGCUUGUGCUUUGUUCCAUUCCCUUCCCUUCUCCUUCUUUGAUUUCCCCUAUAUCUCCCCUUCUCUUUGCAAAAGUGACUAGGCUCAUCUCUCUCCUUUUUUUCCCCAUAUUUUAAGUGUAGUGGGUUUGAUUAUUUUGCAUCUAUUUUAUUUGAUUUUGGUUGAUUAUGGGUGAUAAAACUUGGUGAUGUCACAUAUUAAAAGUUUGAUAGAUGGAUAUUGGGCUUUAGACAAUGAUUUGCUGAAAAAAAUGGCCGCAAUGAGAGGAAGAGGCAAAGGGAUUUGAGUGUGGGGUUGAUUGUUGAUGAAUUGUUGUUUUGGAAAAAAUUUGAGGUUGAGUUUUAUCAAAUUUGGUAGCAAGUGGCGAGAUUUGUUCAGGUUGCGGGAAAUAAAUUGGUUUGUGGUUUCUUGGGCACCCACAGUCGUUGGAAUUGGUUUUGAUUCAAAUUAGGGUGGUUACUUGAUUUUCCUAAUAGUGUUGCUUAAAAGCACACGAUCAUCAAAAUUCCUUAUUUUUAUCUUUUAUUUUUUUUUUGUAGAAAAGAUUUCAUGACUUUCGUGAUAGUCUAAUUUGGAAGAAGGCAAUCAAGGGAUGCAAUCAACAUUUAGCAAAAGCUCUUGUUCUUUUCUUUGUAAUUUUUAGGGUAAAAAGGGUUGUUUAGGGUAUUUGAAGGAAAUGAUAGUCUAUUGGGUCUAUUUUGAAGCAUAAAUAGUGAACGUAAGGGAGGUUGGUGUUAUUUCUGAAACCUAAGGGAAUUGUCUGAAAUUGUCCGAGACCUCGGAGGAGGUUUUCAAAAUUAUCCGUAAGAAAUCAAAUGCGAAACUUGAUUCGUACACGCACACACGACACCACACCACGUCACGCGUGUGUUGAGGACUGAUGUCCGUAGCCAACGACAAGCAGGUUUUCAAUUUUUUUUUCCUUUCCUGGAUUCAGAGAUGGUGUCAGCUUCUAUUAUUGGUGAGCAGGAGGAAAUCCACAAUAUACAGUACACAUCACCCAUAUUCUUUUUAAUUGAACAAUGUAUGAAAUUAUGGUGAUUCGAAAUUAAAUUAUAUGUUUAUUGGACAACGAAUCCAAAAUAAGAGUUGGAAAUGUAUUGUGACAACAAUUGUUAACUUUGGCCACAAAUGAUCAAAAUAAAUAUUUAAGGUUUAAUAUGACAUUAUGGGUUCAAAAUAUAGUUACUUGUUAUGAAACAACUAAAAGUGCGGAUGCCCAUUUGUAUUCUCAAAAGGAUCAAUUCAUAAUUCAUUGCUCCCAAGAUGAUUAAUUCAUAAUUCAUUGCUACAUUAUGUAAAGAAAUUACAUUGGAUGAAUGGUUUCAAUCCAUAAGAGCUAUUCAUGUAUUGGAUGAACCGUUUCAUAUGGCUAUUCAUGUUCUUGUAGUAAUGAGUGUUUAAUAGAAUUGAUGUACCUUUAAUUUUAUAGUACCUAUACAUAGAGGUACCUGGCACCUCUUCGGUGUACUUUUUGAUUAGUUGGAAUAAUAAGAAAAUCAUUCUCCAUUUCUGUACUCUUUCACUAAUAUUUCAAUUCCUAUUAUAGUAGUUCAUUUUUUUUUAGUUUUACAACACGUUAUCAGUACGAGUCUCUCCUUUUAAACAAAAAGGUGAAAACGGAGCCUCUACCUUAAAAAAAAAGUGAAACACGAGAUUUUGCCGAAAUUCUGCCGUAUUUUUCCAGUAACUUCUGUCUACUUAUUGAGAAAUGGAUGCCAAAUAUUUGGGAUUAAAUGAUGGUGAUGAUGACAUUUGUCUCAUUGAUAGUGCUACUACGCGCACUAUAUUGAAAAAUAAAAAAAUUUUCUUGUAUGAAAAUGGGAGAGACAAAUGUUAAUAUCAUAAGUGGUAGUGCAAAAUUGAUUGAAAGAUUCGGAAGAGCCACUCUAUUUCUUCCUAAAGGGACUAAAAUUGUCGUAAAUAAUGCACUAUUGUCUCCCAAGUCUCGGAGAAAUUUAUUGAGUUUUAAAGAUAUCCGCAAAAACGGAUAUCAUAUUGGGACAAUGAUUGAGACAAAUGGAAAAUUUUUAUUAAUCACAAGUAUCAUUUCUAGACAGAAAUACGUAGUAGAAAAAUUACCUUCUUUUUCUUUUGGCUUAUAUUAUGCACAAAUUAGUGCAAUUGAAAUUUAUCACCUAGUAAACCAAAAGUCUAUUCAUCCCAAUAAUUUUAUCAUUUGGCAUGAUCAUUUCAGAAAUCUUGAAUCUAUAAUGAUGAGACAAAUAAUCGAGAAUUCACAUGGUCACUCAUUGAAAAAUCAAAAGAUAUUAAAAGCAAAUGAAUUCUCCUGUGUUGCUUGUUCCCACGGAAAAUUUAUUAGACCAUCACCAGCUAAAGUUGGGACUGAAUCCCCUACAUUUCUAGAACGAAUUCAUGGUGAUAUAUGUGGAUUAUUUCGAUAAUUUAUGGUGCUAAUUGAUGCAUCAUCUAGAUGGUCACAUGUAUGUUUAUUAUCUACUCCCAACCUGGCGUUUGCGAGUUUGCUUGCUCAAAUAAUUAAAUUGCGAGCACAAUUUUCAGACUAUCCAAUAAAGAAAAUUCAUCUAGAUAAUGCUGGUGAAUAUUCAUCACAUACUUUUGACGAUUAUUGCAUGUCCAUUGGAAUAACUGUUGAACAUCUUGUAACUUAUGUUCACACACAAAAUGGUCUAGCCGAAUCAUUUAUUAAACGGCUACAAUUAAUUGCUAAACCAUUGUUGAUGAGGUUUAAACUACUUUCAUCUGCUUGCGAACAUGCUAUAUUACAUGCAGCAACACUUGUGAGAAUUAGACCGACAAGUUAUCAUACUUAUUUUUCCCUACAAUUAACUUUUGGUUAUGAAUCCAAUAUUUUUCAUUUAAGAAUAUUUGGUUAUUCAGUUUGUGUUCUAAUUGCACCGCCCCGACGUUGUAAAUUGGGCUCGCAAAGAAGAUUGAAAAUAUAUGUCGGGUAUGAAUCACCUCUAAUUAUUAAGUAUAUGGAACCAUUGACAGAUGAUUUAUUUAUUGCGAGAUUUGUAGAUUGUCAUUUUGAUGAAUCAGAUUUUUCAACAUUAGGGGGGAGAUAAAAAUCAACCGAAAAAGGAAAUCACUUUAAAAAUAUCAUUGAAUUUUCUCGAUUCUCGUACAAAAGAAUGUGAACUAGAAAUUCAAAAGAUUAUACAUUUGCAAAAAAUUACAAAUCAAUUACCGGAUGCAUUUAAUGACUCCAGAAGAGUUACUAAAUCACAUAUUCCUAUUGAAAAUGCUCUGAUUAAAAUUAAUAUCCUUGAAGGACAAAUUACAAGUGCUAAUGAGUCUAAAGUGCGCCUGAAGCGUGGGAGAUUUCUUGGUUCCAAAGAUAAAAAUUUUCGAAAGAAAAGAGGAGUACAUGAAUCAACAAUUAAUGACAAAAUUUAACCUCCUGAAGAGAUCGCUCCUAAAGAGCCAAUUCUUGAAGAGAAUAAAAUCAUAGAAAAUUCAAUAAAUUUUGUCACUUCAGGGAAAAGUUGGAACCGAAAAGAAAUAAUUAUUGAUAGUAUUUUUGUAUAUAAUGUAGCACUUGAUAUUAUGGUAGAGAAUGGGGAUUACGAGCCUAAAUCGAUUGAUGAAUGUCGACGUAGAAAUGAUUGGCCAAAAUGAAAAGAUGCGAUCCAAUUUGAAUUGGACUCACUGGUUAAAAGAAAAGUUUUUGGACCUGUAGUCCAAACACCUGAAGGUGUGAAGCCAGUAGGAUAUAAAUGGGUAUUUGUGAAAAAAAAAUGAGAAAAAUGAAAUCGUGAGGUAUAAAUUAAUACUUGUAGCCAAAGGAAUUUCACAAAGGCCUGGAUUUGAUUAUGAUUACACGUAUUCACUUGUAGUGGAUGCUAUCACAUUUAGAUAUCUUGUGAGUUUUGCAGUACAUGAAAAAUCAGAUAUGCAUCUAAUGGACGUCGUUACUGCAUAUUUAUAUGAAAAUCUUGAAAAUGAUAUUUAUAUGAGAAUUCCCGAAGGAUUCAAUAUGCCUGAAACAUGCAAAUCAAAUCUUAAAAAUAUUUAUUUAAUUAAAUUACAAAAGUCUUUGUAUGGAUUCAAACAAUCUGAACGUAUGUGGUACCGCCUUAAUGAAUGUUUAACUAAAGAAGGCUAUACCAAUGAUCCAAUAUGUCCAUGUGUCUUUAUCAAGAAAAAUGGAUCAAAUUUUGUGAUAAUUGUUGUAUAUGUUGAUGAUCUAAAUAUGAUUGGAACACCUGAAAAGAUUCAAAAUAGUGUUGAAUAUUUGAAAAAAAAUUUGAGAUCAAAGAUUUUGGAAAAAUAAAAUUUUUCCUUGGUUUACAAAUUGAGCAUUUGAAAAGUGGAAUUUUGUCCACCAAACUGCUUAUACCCGGAAGGUAUUAAAGCGAUUUUAUAUGGAUAAGUCACAUACAUUAAGUAUUCCAAUGGUCAGAUCAUUAGAUCCUAAUAAGGACCCUUUUAGACCGCGAGAGGAAGAUGAAGAGAUACUUGGUCCUAAAGUACCAUAUCUCAGUGCAAUUGGUGCACUACUGUAUCUUGCUAAUUGUACAAGACUUGAUAUAUCAUUUACAAUAAAUUUAUUAGCAAGAUUUAUUUCCUCGCCCACAAGACGACAUUGGAAUGGUAUUAAACAUAUUUUUCGUUAUCUUUAAGGAACAAAUUGAUCUUGGCUUAUUUUAUUCAAAUAAAUCUAAACUUGAAUUGCUUGGUUAUGUUGAUGUUGGAUAUUUAUCUGAUUUGCAUAAAGCAAGAUCUCAGACUGGUUAUCUAUUUACAUAUGGAGGUACAACCAUUUCUUGGCGAUCUAGAAAGCAAUUAUUAGCCGCCACUUCAUCGAAUCAUGCUAAAAUAAUAGCAAUUCAUGAGGCUAGUCGAGAAUGUGUUUCGUUAAGAUCAAUGACCUACUAUAUCCGGAAGAGUUGUGGGUUAUCCUCUGAAAAAGAAAAUCCUCCGACUAUAUUUUAUGAAGAUAAUGCAGCUUGUAUAGCUCAAUUGAAAGGAGAAUAUAUUAAAGGAGAUAGAACGAAAUAUAUUUCACCAAAAUUCUUUUUUACUCAUGAUUUACAAAAGAAUGGUGAAAUUGUUGUGCAACAAAUCCGAUCAGAUAAUAAUUUGAUAGAUUUAUUUACUAAUGUAUUGCCGACUGCAAUAUUUGAGAAAUUGGUGAAGAAUAUUGGAAUGCGACGACUAUAAAAUCUCAAAUGAUAUUUGCAUCAGGGGGAGAAAUCAAUACACAAGAAUAGUGUACUCUUUUUUUUUCACUAGAGUUUUUGUCCCGUUGGAUUUUUUCCUAGUAAGGUUUUAAUAAGACAUAUUCUUUGUGUAAUUAAUAUCCAAUGGGGAGUGUUAUGAAAUAACUAAAAGUGUGGAUGUCCAUUUGUAUUCUCAAGAAGAUCAAUUCAUAAUUCAUUGCUCCCAAGAGAAUUAAUUCAUAAUUUAUUGCUACAUUAUGUAAAGGAAUUACAUUGGAUGAUCGGUUUCAAUCCAUAAGAGCUAUUCAUGUAUUGGAUGAACCAUUUCAUAUGGCUAUUCAUGUUCUUGUAGUAACGAGUGUUUAAUAGAAUUGAUGUACCUUUAAUUUUGUAGUACCUAUAUAUAGAUGUACCUUAGCUGAUAGGUUGCAAUUUUAUCAUUUAUUUUAUAAUUAAUUUCUCCUAUUACCUGACUUGAUGUGGAUUAAUUGCGGGAUUCUACUCACUUUUAGUAUUUUGCAUUUAUUUCAGGGAGUAGAGCGAAAAUAUAAUAACAGGUGCUAAUUUGACAAAAAAAGAGUCCAAGGCACAGAGCUUAUCCCGGGGGCAUUAUUGGCAAAGGAAGACUUUUGCCCAUUUUGGUAAUUUCAAAAGAAGAGAGCAGGGCAGAGGCCUCUAUUUUACUGGAGGCUGGAGCGCCGCACAAAGGGAGCUUCUUCUUCCUUCGGAGGCUCCGUCCUCUCCGCAAGGGGGCUGCCGCACACAGCAGCCAUUAGAAUAGGAGCAAUUGAUAUAUGACAGAGAAUGAGCACUAGCACCAGGGAGUUGCCUUUGUUGACUUUUCUUCCCUUUUAGUUCUUAGUAGUUGUUUUACCUUCCUCGUACGUAGGACCUUUAGCAUAGUUUCCUUUUGACUUUCCCUUGAGUCUUGGGUGGAUGUCUCCUGCGCAUGUCAGGAGCAAUUGAAGGUCUCGGUCACUUUCUGUAUUCUUCCAUCAACUGAGCGAACUGAGCUCCCUUGGUCAAGGGCAAUGGCUGCGGCUUCCUCUCCAACUUUGUGUGGGAUUCGUUCACCAGGAAUGAACUAAUUUUUCUUUUCUAGUCAAGGAACAACGGAGGUCUUGGUUGGCCUAAAUUUGUGAGAUCGAAUUAGUUUUUAUUUAUUUCCAUUAUUCACUGGUAUUUGUCUAUCUUCUGCUUUAUGUUCAUAUGGUUGUUUUAUUAUUCGAUUAUCCAGGGCCCGGAUACUAGAUUAAUUCAAUAACCUGAAGCCAAUUAGGAUAGUUAAAUCCGUAAUUGUUUAAUUAUUCUAAACUGCUGGCAACUGGCAUGAUUGGGUUUGUGUCAGGGGGAUAAACAUGCUAACUUAAAGAGACCCUCGUAGCGUGUUGAUUGGUUAGAAUUAGGCUCUUCUAAUUAUUCAUGCAAUUAGGGAAUUGAACUUCUAUGGUCGUACCUAGGGUUAUUUCCUGAUUAGAGAAAUAGUCAACGGUCGUACCUUGGCUAUCGACAAAUUGAGGAAGAGUUGGUUGUUUAUCGCGUGUAUGGCAACUAUAACUAAUUUAUCAGAUAGUAACUGGAAUAAUCCUUGCAUCUGUGAUCGAAUUAAGUGAACCAUCUCCGAAGUUGUCUCUUGGCUAGAGUUCGUCAAUUAUUAUUUUUAUUGUGAUAAUUAGUUAUUUGAGUUGUAGUUAUUUUAUUUUAUUUAUUCCAAGUAAUUUAGUUACUCUCAUUUUCAAAAACCCCCCAUAUCUGGAACUUGAGAAGAAAUUAAAUUAUCCCCAGUCCCUGUGGAUUCGACCCUGCUCACCGCUAUAUACAGAAUUUGUAUUUUAUUUGAGCAGGUAUUUAUUAUUGCACAGGUUCGGCACCUGUCAAUUUUUUGCUACAUUAUGUAAAGGAAUUACAUUGGAUGAUCGGUUUCAAUCCAUAAGAGCUAUUCAUGUAUUGGAUGAACCAUUUCAUAUGGCUAUUCAUGUUCUUGUAGUAACGAGUGUUUAAUAGAAUUGAUGUACCUUUAAUUUUGUAGUACCUAUAUAUAGAUGUACCUUAGCACCUCUUGGGUGUACUUUUUGAUUAGUUGGAAUAAUAAAAAAAUCAUUCUCCAUUUCUGUACUUCUUUCUCUAAUAUUUCAAUUCCUAUCACAGUAGUUAUUUUUUUUUAGCUUUACAACAUUACUUAAAUAAGAGAGUUAUUGGACUAUAUGUUUAUUGACCUCUACUAACUUAUUUAAGGUCAUUUCAUAUCACUAUCCAAAGAAGAAUUAAGGUCAUUUCAUAUCACUAUCCAAAGAACAAUUCUUGGGCGCUAACAUUUUUCUUACAUGACUAUUAAUGAAAGUUGACCCAAAUCUCUCUGUCUCUCUCUUUCUUUCAAUUCUUAGGACUGAUGCCAAUUCUUACCAUUUAGAAAGAAAAAUUAGAUUGUUUAUAUAUAUGAUGAGUUCCCUCUAAGUCAUGGUUAAGAAAAAUUCUUAGUUAAACGCAGUUUUAUGAAAUGUGAAUUUCCUUUUCUUUGUCUUUAUUCAUUAGUAUUAUUGGGGUUAUUGUAUUAUGAUUGCAAUGCACAGAUACAUGGAUUUUUGACAUUUUUUCUUUUUAAUUGACUCUGACUAUGCCUCAAACUCGAGACAUCAAACCUGGACACGACUUUUGUCCAAAAUGCUUGUAAAAAUUCAGAAGAAUAAUUUUGGACCUUAUUAUUUGAUAAUGGUACAAUUAUGAGAGUCAUUCCAGGUUAAUUAUCAAACUUGGAACUUGAAAAUAAUGUCGACAUCAUGUCAUUAUUAUUUUUUAGUUUCAUAGAAAAAUGAAGUAUUCUCCAACUCGACAUUAUCAUAGUAUUUUCAAUUGGCAGCUCAUGUGAGAAAGACAAGAAAUUCACAAUCAACUGGCCAAGAGAGUGCCAACAAAGAAAGCACUAAAUGGCUUAAACAAUGCAUGCAAAUUUGCUUGGCACUUAAACAAUAGACACCUAAAUCAACCAUGUCACUGUCUUGCCAAAAAAGGGCAUUAAAGUAAAAACAACUCAUGCCUACCACAGGUAACAAACUUCAGCACCUUCACUUCACUACCAUGUCAGCAACAACAUUUGCAAAUUUCCAAGGAAGUCCACGCACUAAAGGUGCCCAUGCCCUUAGGGGACCUCAGGUUAGUGUUCUUAACCUCAACUCCUGUCUUUCUGUUCUUAGGAAAUAUUGAAAUUAAACGUUAUAACUAAUCCUGAUUUCCUUGUGCUAUAUUUGUACACAAUUUGGCAACAAGGGUAAAAAAAAAUAAAAAUAAAAAGGUUUAUCUGCAAACUGUAGUUCGGCCUGGCUCUUUUUUUUUUUUUUUUUUUUGGGGAUAAGAUCAUCUCAGCACCCGCAGACCCCGUCAUGUAUCAAUAUUUCUGUACUUAGCAUUGGCUUCUUCUCGCCUGAAGAACACACGAACCACCGAAAUAGAUGGUGCAUGAAAGUGCACUUAACCCUUUUAAUUUUUCAAAACAAUCUUUUAGAAAAAAUAAUAAAAACUUUUUGAAUUUAAUUUUAGAGAAGAAGAAUUUUAAAAUUUUUUGAAUUUAAUCUUAGAGAAGAAGAAGUUUAAAAUGUACUUUAAUUUUCACAACUGAUGAUGAAAAUAGCAAAAUGUACACGGAUAGUGACAAAAGUGGGAUCACGGGCAGGAAAUCCUGAAGGUUGCGUGCAUUUUACACACGGCAUAAUUCUGUUUGUAUAUAGUGUAAUUUACUUUUUACAACGUGUAAUUUUAAAACAAAAUUUUGUAAGUCUCACACAUUUUAUUAAAAAUAAGGUACAAGAUGAAAUUUGGACCAUAUAAUUUUUUUUAAUCAAAUCUUGACCGUGAACUGCUCAGAAACGGUUUACCUGAUGACCGUCCCUGGUCCAAACCCGACAAAGGUGCCAUCUUAUCCUUUUACUGACUGGCCCGUUUUCCAAUGAGAGGGCCCAGAAGGGGUGCCUCUGCUUCAUAGUUUAUCCAUAUUGAUAUUUCUUUUCUGUCCCCCUAACUAUUAAAUGUGAAAGGUUGCCCACCAAAUUUGACGAAACCGUUUAUCCUAAUUGAUUAUUAUCAAUAGGGCAUAACUUUAAUAUUCUUCUUCCAACCCUUUCUGGUGAUUCCUGCAACUCCAGCCGUCCGUCAAUGACCAUAAAGCACCAUUAACCGACAACUAACUAACCACUAUUAAUCUAUUCUCAAAUUUUAAUGAAAUUGCACAAUCUAUUCUCAAAUCAAAUUUGAACAACAUUUUAUAGUCGAUAACUUUGAAACUUGAUAAAAAAGUCUGUUUAAACUCGGUUUAGUAAAUAAACAAAUCAAGUUUGAACAAAAUUUUAAACUCAUUAAAAUAAUUAAACACGUUUGAAUAUUAGGGUAUUCGAUUUAAUUAGACACGUUUGUAUCCCUAAUUAAAGCAUGCACUUUUAUAAGUUUAGGAAUCAACAUUAUACAUUUAAUAGCUAGCUAGAGGGUCAAAAAGUUAAUUGCCUUAAAUUCUUUUAGCAGCCAUAAGGUACAGUUGGAGGGAUUCCCUUGAAAUUGGUUAGAUUCUUCUAUGUGACUAAAGAAUUUCGGGUGUGACGCAUUACUAGUCCUACCCUAAAAAAAAAUGGUAUUACUAGUCCUUUUUUUCUUUUUUGGCGUGCCCCCGUCGUGGGAUGUGGGGAGGGGAGUCUGUGCGAGAAUUCUAGGUCGGGGUACAAGGAGCCAAAGUUCACCUUAUUCAAAGUAAACAACCGUCCAUCUCAGUUGUCGACUUUCCUGUCGAUUGCGUAUAUAUAUAUAUUACUAUCUUUUACCAUGACUUUAGAGGAUAGCUAAUUUUGCUUGCUAUUAAAUAAUAAUUUCGGUAGUCUAUAAAUACUCUUGUUCCUCACCGCUCCUAGCACCACAUAAUUCCUUCAAGAACAGCCAAAACCUUCUUGAAAUCCCUCUUUUUCCUUCUAGUUCAUUUCCAAGAAACAAAUGGCCCCUGUCACUUCCAGUUAUGAGGUCACCUCCUCAAUCCCUCCUGCAAGGUUGUUCAAGGCCACCAUCCUCGAAGAGAAGCAUCUUCACAAGAUCUUGCCACAGGGCGUUAAGAGUGUCGAAAUCCUUGAAGGAGAUGGUGGAGUUGGCACAAUUAAGUUGACCACAUUUGUUGACGGUAAGAUAAUCAAUACAAAGUGAUUAUUUUCACACAUUUGAAGUCUUCAAAUUUUUCUCUUUUUUUCCCUUUUAUUUGGGAAAAACUAAUGACUUUUUUUUUUUGGUUGGGUUAAAUAUUUAGGUGGCGAGCAUAAGACUGCCAAACAGAGAGUUGAUGGAAUUGACAAAGAAAAAUUUACAUACAGCUAUACUGUACUUGAAGCUGAUGGAUUUAACGAUGUAAUCGAGAAAAUCUGUUGUGUCAUCAAAUUUGAACCCUCUGCUGAUGGAGGUUCAAUCUGCAAAACCACUAACACAUACUACCCCAAAGGUGGUGCUCAGAUCAGUGAGGAACACCUCAAGGGAGGAAAAGAGAUGGGUUUGGGAAUGGUUAAGGCUGUUGAGGCAUACCUCCAUGCAAAUCCUACUGCCUACAACUAAUUAUAAUGAAUGCUACUGCAAGGACUCUUCGACAUAUUUUCUUCAAGAUUGAAGUAUAAACUGAGGGUGUCUGUUUCCUUUUUUGCUUGGUUUGCUUAAGCUGUUUGGUUAAGUUAUUCGCAGCAAGAGAAUAAAAUAAUUCAUUUGCUGUUUUUAGAUAUGAAUUCAUGACUGUCAGUAGUCUAUAAAUACACUUAUUGCUCACCACUCUUUGCACCGCAAAAUCUUUUCAAGAUCCAUCAAACCCUCCUGUUCUUGAUCUUUCUCCAUUUGUGAAAAAACAAAUUAAAGCAUCAUGGCCCCUAUCACUUGUAGUGCUGAGAUGACCUCCCCAAUGCCUCCUGCAAGGUUGUUCAAGGCCGCCAUCCUUGAUGACCACCUUCUUCCCAAGAUCAUGCCACAGGCUAUUAAAAGUGGAAAUUCUUGAAGGAGAUGGUGGAGUUUGAACCAUUAAGUUGAGCACAUUUGGUGACGGUUAGAUGUUAUAUUAAAUGUAGAACCCAAAUUUUAAGGAUCUAAUAAUAAUCAAUUAAUAAUAAUCAAUGCGUGCAGGGUUACAGAAUUGGAGGGAUAAAACAAAUACUCAAAUAAAUGUGGAAGAAAAGAAAAUAAUAAAUUCAACUCACAAAAUUAUUGAAAUUUCAAACAAUGAAAAAAAUCAUACCUUAAUAAAUUCAGUUGGUUUUAAUAAUAAUCAAAGCAUACAAGGUUAAAGAAUUAAAAGGAUAAAACAAACACUCAAAAUAUAUGUGGGAGAGAAGAAAAUAAUAAAUUCAACACACAAUAUUAUUGAAAUCUCAAACAAUGAAAAAAGUCACACCAUAAUAGAAAAUCUUGCAAAUUCUUCUAGAUUCUUUCUCUUGAGAAACCAACCUAAAUAAUGUUCUAUUUAUAAUCUACCAAACUUGUUAGGAAAGAAACCACUUGCAUAAGAAAUUACCAAAUAAAACAGAAAUUCCUAAAUCACACAACUACUAAAAACAUAACUCAAAUAAAACUAAAAAAUAAAUAAAUUUUUCUUGGCUUAGUUUAAUUUGUUAACAUUGCCUCCCUUAAACCAAACUAUCCAUUGAGAUAUGUUCAACACCAUCUCGAGUAACAAUUUCUAUGCAAAUCUAUGUUGUAGUAUACUUGACAUGAAACUCUAACUUGUUACCAGUUAUUAAUUUCAUCUUUACACGUAACAGUGGACGUACUAUGUAUUUUGUAAAAAAUUUCUCAACAAUUUCUUCUUGAUCAAAGUACUCAUUUAUACAAACCCAUUCAUCACCAGAAUCAUCAUAUUUACCACCAAUGUAAGUUCCUAAAAAUACAAAAUCAUUGCUUGCUUUCUCGCUAAAAUUAUCAUAACCAAAUAAUUUAAAAUAGCCACUACUACAAUCAUCCAAAAUUUUCAUACUGUCAGUCAACUCUUUUGGAGUAAAAUAUUUUUCAACUAUAAUGACAUCCAUAUCUAUCAAAUCAAGCAUUCUCCCAUCACUUUGAAGAAAGUCCGAACCAACGAAUUUUUCAACAACAAUUUCAUGAUCUCUUCUCUUAUCAAGUCAAAAUUUUCUUCUUCUUUUGUCAAAUUACCAUAUUAUUGUUUCAACAAAUUCAUUACUUCUAAUUUCUCCAAACAAGGUACGCAAAUCAAAACUAUCAAUUGAUUCAAAAUUUUCGAUAUCACCCAUAUUAUCAACAAAUCUAUCAUUUUUAAAAUCCACAAACCAAUACCAACAACUAGACUUCGGUUUGAAAGCAUAAUUUCUCUCAAUCGUGUGCAAAACAAAGUAAAUAUCCUUCCAAAAUCUCUAAAGUAUUUUAGUAUGACCAAUAAAGGUUUUAUAAAUACUUUCUGCCAUUAUUUUACACAUCACUUGAAAGAAUAAUUGUGCUUUUUUUCUUAAAAACAUGUUUUGCCAACUUACUUGCAUCAACCCAACAAAGAAUAUCAUCCAAAUUACAUUGUUUGAGAUAUUUUUCCACUGUUAAAAUUCAGCCAAAAUAUGUAUGUCUAUUUGUGUUUAUAGGAGUCAAUAUGGAAAAUUUUUCACCAUCAAUCAGAUCUUUAUAAUAUUCCAUUAUUUAACAAUUUGUAUACCUGAAUAAAUUUUUUUCCUCCAUCCUGUCAUGUUUUCUUGGCCUCCUUGGUUGACUGACCAAAUUAUUGUUGUAUGUAUACCCAUGCUUGUCAAACCUCAUUCGUGUACACUCGUAAGGAGUGGUUUUGAGCUUACUGUGAAUGCUUAAUACCAAGAAGUAGAAGAGAGAAUGCAUAAGAGAGAAUUAACUUGGCUAAAGAAUUGGGAAGCAAUUUAGGGAUUUUUUAAGAAAUUAAUUCUCCAACCGCCACUUUUGGAAAUUUCUAUCAACAACUAGUUACCAAAACACUAGGACAGCGAUCCGUCUCUAUUUUACUCUUCAAGUCUUCGCCGGGGAAGCAACCCGGCCUUGCGAGACUAUAAUGAAUAGGCACUUGCCUUCUGUUUUUACUUUUUUUUUGUUCAAAGACUAUAAUGCCCUUAUUAUUUGACUGCGCAUCUCGCAAGAUAAUGCUUUCCAUCAAAAUUAACUGUUGGGUUUGACAGAAGCGCCACGAAUAUUCUAUUUUAUUAGAUCCAGAGUCAAAAUUUUACCGUUAAUUGUUAGAGGGUUAAAACUUUAUCUGGAAAGGAGUUGGAGGGCCAUUGGAACUCUUUUUCCAAAAAAAAAAAAAAGUCACUUUUGUCAUUUGUCCAAGAACAGUUCUGGGGCCAUCUCGACAGUAUAUAUUUUUCUUACAUGCCAAGACAAUUAAUGAAAAUUGACCAAUAACACACGCACACACACACACACACACACACACUCUCUCUCUCUCUCUCUCUCUCUCUCGGUUGCUGCCAAGUCUUUCCAUUGAAAAAGGAAAAUUCAUAUUGUUUACAUAGAUAAAUUACCUCCAGUCCGUGGAAUGUCUUGAUGUUAGGUGAGUUCUAAUAUUUUGGUAUCAUCUAGAGGUGGCAAAUCAACCCACUUAACUAAAUUUACCCAUAUCCGCCCAUGAAUAGAUGGGUAUGGAUAUCUUAAAUUUUUGUAUAUGAGUAUAAAUGGGUUACCCAAUAAUACCCAUUUAAAUGGGUAACCCAUCAAACCCAAUUAACCCAUUUAGAAUUCUCUUCCCCUCAAGUCUCUUCUUUUCCCCCACCUUUUUUUUUUUCAAAUUUUUCAUUUUGUCAUGAUGUUAACUACUUUUGUUUUAUUAUUAUUAUUUGUUGGUUUUAUCUUAUUAUUUUAUUUUCUCUUAGUUUGUUAACUUACUCAUUUUUUACCAUUACCAAUUUAUGAUAAAUUUUAGCCUAUUUUCUUAUCUUUAUAAAAUGAAAUUUUAAAUUUAUAUAUGAAAAAAAUGUUAGGGGUUCAAAAAUUUUGGAUUAAGUUUUUAUAUUAAUUUUUAUAGUACUUAGUUCAAAAUUUUAUAUUCUUAUUAUUCAAUUAUUAAAUAAUAGGUAAUUUUGUGACAUAGAGUAUAAAUGAAAAAAAAUUGGUAAUUAAGUUUAUUGAACAUUAUAAGUAAAUAUUUAAAACUAAUGAUGGGUAUAAAGAGUGAUAUAAAUUGAUAACUUAGUUUGCAAAAAUGAAUUUAAAUGAGUUUGCAAAAAGUUAAAAUAAAUGGGUUAUAAAUGGGUAAUUGGGUUACCCAAUUCAUUUUUUGACUUGCCUAUUUAUACCCAUAUAAUUAAAUGGGUAUAAAUGAGUUGACUCACUUAUACCCAUUACCCAUUUUACCCAACUCAAACCCGCCCAAGUCACCCAUUUUGACACCUUUAGUAUCAUCUAAUGUUCAUUUGUGAAAGAUUGAGAAAUGAUAAAGAGCAAAACACCAAUUUAUUCCAUAAAUUAUUUUGCUAAAAUCAAAAUAGUCCAUAAAUUUUCUUUUGGCCAAAUUUUUGUCAUGAACUUUCAGAAACGGUUGCAGGGGAUUUCAUCCGGAUUGCUUGUGCAGUUGAGUAACUAUACAGAAAUUCUUUUUGGGAUGCUGAGUAUCUUAGGAUGGGUACAAUGAUCGCUUAGAUCAGUAGAGAUGAUUGAUGAUGUAGUAGGGGAAGAUUCCCUUUAUAAAGCUGAUUUUCUCAUGAUUAAUAAGAAUAUAAAUGUUACCAAAUUUUCUUUUCAAAUGUGUAACGAAAAUAUUGGCCAUGAUCAGCAAGACCUCCUUAAUUAUAAAAGUUUCUUGAAUGUCAUCAUCCAAUUUGUUUAAGCGAGGAUUUUUAAAUGCUAUCUUUAAGCAAAUUGAUUUUUGUAUUAUAGAUACUUACUACUAUUACUUCAUACCUAGCUACAAACCUCAUGUAUGUUUUAGUUUUAAUCCAGAACAAAUCAGGGCCACGGGCCACCUUGCACAUAGCGAGAGUGGAAAAAUAAAACUACACAAUUGCUUUUUUGAAGCCAGUGACUCAACUGAUUUUGCGCUCGGCAAUUCAUCCGAUUUUCAUUAAAAGGGCCCUAAGAGGCCAUUGGCGUUUUGGGCCUGUGAAAAUUUGGAUGAUUUGGUGUGUCCAAUGCAUGUGUAAGCACAAAUUUUGUUGUCUAAAAUAAAAGACAAGAAAACUUACAUAAAUAUCAAAUUUAUUAAAUUAAAUAACAAGAGGGUUACAAUAUUUGAAAAUUUUUGAAUCAAAGAAAUUAAUCUCCUAAUUUUUAUCUUCAAAAGGCUUUAAUCGGAAGGCCAAAAAGGCUUGUUCUCCGAUCAAGAGGGUGUUUUCUAUGAUUUCUAUGUAAAAAACGGCUGCUUUGAUGAUGACGUUAAUAUUUGAAUCUUUAAAUCUUCAACGCCGAUGGAAGGAGGAUUUAUUUAACUUAAUUUGGAUUUGGAUUUGAAUUUGAGGGAAAAAGCUCUCAAGAGAAUUUGACAAAGUUACUUUGAAAUUUAGGAAUUUUAAUGUAUUUUUGCCUUGAGGGAAGACCUUUAUUUAGAGUCAACAUAUGCAAGCUAUGUCUUCAAGAGAAUCCUUCAAAACCAUCUUGCGUUUGGGUAACUUGUACCUUAAGAAACCCAUUUAACUUGGAGUUAAAUAGUCGGCCGACCCAAAUAGUCAAUUGUGAAUUAACAAAUCAAUUAAAUCACUUUAAUUUAAAUGGGCAUCACAUUUUUUAUUUGAUUUAAUAGCUCAUAUAACAUUGGCUCAAUUUGUCAAUCCAAAACAUAAUGAACUUCUAUAAUUUAAUUUAAUUUAAUAAAAAUCAAUUUAAUUUACUUAAUCUUGCCUAAAAAUAAAUUAAAUAAAUUUUCGUUGUCUAUGUCCCCACUUCAAAACUUGGCAAGGCAUUGCAUGUUUAUUUGAAUUAACUUAAAACUUCUUAAUACGAUUCAUCUAAGCACCUUUAUAUAUAUAUAUAUAUAUAUAUAUAUAUAUAUAUAUAUAUUUAUUUAUUUAUUUAUAUAUAGAGGUACAGAAGACAUGUCUUUGUCUUGAAACUGUGACAAACAGGACACUUAAGACAAGGGCGUGUGAAGACUAUCGCACUAUUUGAGCGAAAAAAACCUGUUUUGCACGUAUAUUUUGAAGGUAAUCAUCUUUAUUGUCUUUUGACAACUUCAUGUUGGUCGAGUAUCAGAUAUUCACCAAAUUUUGUUGAAAUUUGUCAAAACUUGAUUUGUUUCCAAUUUGGAGAAAAAAAAAGAUUUUUUUCUUCGUUUCUGCAAUUUUCCAGGUCACUCUUUCCUAUCAACAUGUUACGAUUCAGAAAUUGAGACAAAUCUUGUACAUAGGAAUCUUUUUUAACAGCUGAUGGUUGGAAUUUAGCAGACACCUUGAAGUCAAAGAAGGCAAAUAGCAUUCCAAUAGCAUUAUUUGGUUGCAUGCCAUAUCCAAGAUUUUCACUAGUAAGCCACCAUUUUCUUGCUUUUGAUUGUUAUUCAUUCUCUGUUGCGCAAUUUUAUUUUCGCACAAUCUAUUUUUUUCGUUGAAUUUUCUCUUUUGCAAAACAGCGACCACCAAGGAAAGACAGAAAGAUUUUUUUGUUUUUGUUUUUGUUUUUGUUUUUGUUUUUUUUUUUAUGGUUGCACCUUGUGUUGGCACCCCUUAUUUGAAGCAAGUUGAUGUUCCAGUUGUGUUGGGGAUUUUAGGGCCAUAGCUCUUAGAACUCAAAAUACUAAUGUAAUUUCCGCACUCCAUGACAUUUACUUCUUGUCAAUGCCAAACUCUCCUCUUUUUUUUUGUGAUAUGAAAGGAAGAUCUCUCGUUGCAACAUAUAUGGUGGACACUCAAUUUGAAAGAAGGUGCAACCACCAACUUGCACGAGAGCCAUAUCAUGGUUUGAGGAGUAUAAUGAAAAUGAUGCAACUGCAAACUCUUAUGAGAGCCAUAUCAUGGUUGAGAAGUACAAUGAAGAUAGUGCAAUCAAAAAUUUGAAAAAGGUGCAAUCGCAAACUCCCAUGAGAGCCUAUCAUGGAUUGAGGAGUACAACGAAGAAUGUGCCACAAAAAGUUGAAAAAUGUGCAAUCGCAAACUCGCACGAGAGCCUAUCAUGGUUUGAGGAGUACAAUGAAGAAGGUGCAACUACCCACUUCAAUGAGAGCUUACCAAAACUCGAGAAGCCCUUUCAUUUAACUUCACAUUGACUAUUUAUUACUUCUCUCACUGUCUUCGAUCACACCAUUGUAAUCAAAUUUUUUUCUCUUGCUUUUGGUCCUAACGAAAUGGUGAUGGUCAAGGAAGUUACAUCUUCAAACAAAAGGCACCUCCUUAUCACUAAUAGCCAUGAUGACUCUGCUGACAAAGGAACGAAAUUAUUGGUGCAUCCCUCUAUACAAGAAAUUUACUCUGGUGAUUGGUUUUCUCACAAGUAUUCCGAAUUAAAGGAUUGGUCACUAAAAUUUUCUCAAGAUGAUGGUACGAAAGUUCACUCCUUGAAAUUCCUUAUCAUAAUAAGGAGCCAAGGACAAUUGGCAGGCGAAUCCUAGAUGAGACUAAGGGUGCAAACGAGGCAAGUCGAAUCGAGUUUUGAAGUUAUUGAGUCGAGUUACACUUAUUUAUAUGCGAGCUCGAGUUCGAGGUCGAAAAAUAGAGCUCGAACUCGGCUCGAUGUAGGAAAAGGAAAACUCGAGAUCGACUCGCUUAUGGCUCGCGAGUUUAGCUCGAAUUCUGGCUCGCGAGCAGCUCGAGUUUUGCUAGAUUUUCUGGCUCGCAUGAAGCUCGAAGUCAGCUCGAUUCUAGCUCGUUAGGAGCUCCAGUUCGAACUCGAAAACAGCUCGAUUUUCUGGAAAUUUAUGCAAGAAAACAGAAUUUUUGUCCGCAUAUUUUUGAUAAAAUUUGAGCAUGAUAACAAUAAGUUUUCACAUAUUCUUGAUCUUGAGGCCUACAAAUUAUGCACUAAUACAAUCAUAAAUGUCCAAAUGUCCACUAAUACAAAUUAUCCAAAUGUCCACAAAUGUCCACUAAUACAAAUUAUCCAAAUGUCCACAAGAAGUCUGAAGAAUACCAGCUUGUUGUCCACAAAAACCAAGGCAUGACAUGAAGCGAGAAUUUCCUGACUGCGUCCUGGAACUUUACUCAUUUCUGUCUCUAAUUCCUCAUGAUCAGUUAGUCCACCAACAUUGAACAAUAUGGAUCAGGAAUGGGGAAAAAUCACUUUCUAACACUCAAGAUCACAUACAACUCAUAUCCAACAAAUAUCCUGAAGUUUCAUGAGUAUAAUCACAUUAAAAGAGAAAAGGAUACUGACAAGCAUGCUAAUCAAACUCAAGCAGAAAAGGUACUUUCUCCUUGCCGUCUCCGACAUCCCAGCCAGCAAAUGGCUGGGGUUCGUGACAGCUGUUUGGGUCCAAUCCAUCUCCGGCAACAACUAUACCUUCUCCAAUUACUCCGACGCCCUCAAAUCACUCAUGGCCCUCACUCAGCUCCAACUCAACAACCUCUCCGUCGCCAAUUGAUGUCAUUAAAGCAGAAAAUCGGCCUGAUGGCCUCCACCAGCUGCCAUCCCUAAUCCAAGAAGGUCGAGUGUAGUAUGCUUAGGACCAAAUACAGAUGGAGUUCCCAACAUCAGUUCCUUCAAGCUAGACCCACCAUCACACGGCAGCCCUAGUCCUAGGCCUACUACCAAUGAUGCACUAUCAGACUCAAUUGCCCUCCCACUCUUCGCCCGGAAAGACAGUGGUGAAAAGAGGUAAGGAGGUGGCGGCAAAGAGCGACGGGUUAGCCAAAGUUAGAAGAUCCUCUUUUUCUAGAUUUGCAAGUUUCCUACUCUAGAGACAAAAAUGUCCUUGAUAUUUGGUCGUGCAUCUUACAAGAUAAUGCUUUCCGUCAAUUUUAACCGUUGGAUUUGACGGAAGGGCCAUGAAUAUGCUAUUUUAUUAGAUCGAGAGCCAAAAUUUUACCGUUAAUUGUUGGAGGGUUAAAACUUUAUCUGGAAAAGAGUUGGAGGGCCAUUGGAACUCUUUUUCCAAAAAAAAAAAGUCACUUUUGUCAUUUGUCCGAGAACAGUUCAGGGGCCAUCUCGACAGUAUAUAUUUUUCUUACAUGCCAAGACAAUUAAUGAAAAUUGACCAAUAACACACGCACACACACGCGCACGCACACACACACACACUCUCUCUCUCUCGGUUGCUGCCAAGUCUUUCCACUGAAAAGGAAAAUUCAUAUUGUUUACAUAGAUAAAUUACCUCCAGUCCGUGGAAUGUCUUGAUGUUAGGUGAGUUCCAAUAUUUUGGUAUCAUCUAAUGUUCAUUUGUGAAAGAUUGAGAAAUGAUAAAGAGCAAAACACCAAUUUAUUCCAUAAAUUAUUUUGCUAAAAUCAAAAUAGUCCAUAAAUUUUCUUUUGGCCAAAUUUUUGUCAUGAACUUUCAGAAACGGUUGCUUCCUGCAACCGUUGGUGAGGGAUUUCAUCCGGAUUGCUUGUGCAGUUGAGUAACUAUACAGAAAUUCUUUUUGGGAUGCUGAGUAUCUUAGGGUGGGUACAAUGAUCGCUUAGAUCAGUAGAGAUGAUUGAUGAUGUAGUAGGGGAAGAUUCCCUUUAUAAAGCUGAUUUUCUCAUGAUUAAUAAGAAUAUAAAUGUUACCAAAUUUUCUUUUCAAAUGUGUAACGAAAAUAUUGGCCAUGAUCAGCAAGACCUCCUUAAUUAUAAAAGUUUCUUGAAUGUCAUCAUCCAAUUUGUUUAAGCGAGGAUUUUUAAAUGCUAUCUUUAAGCAAAUUGAUUUUUGUAUUAUAGAUACUUACUACUAUUACUUCAUACCUAGCUACAAACCUCAUGUAUGUUUUAAUCCAGAACAAAUCAGGGCCAUGGGCCACCUUGCACAUAGCGAGAGUGGAAAAAUAAAACUACACAAUUGCUUUUUUGAAGCCAGUGACUCAACUGAUUUUGCGCUCGGCAAUUCAUCCGAUUUUCAUUAAAAGGGCCCUAAGAGGCCAUUGGCGUUUUGGGCCUGUGAAAAUUUGGAUGAUUUGGUGUGUCCAAUGCAUGUGUAAGCACAAAUUUUGUUGUCUAAAAUAAAAGACAAGAAAACUUACAUAAAUAUCAAAUUUAUUAAAUUAAAUAACAAGAGGGUUACAAUAUUUGAAAAUUUUUGAAUCAAAGAAAUUAAUCUCCUAAUUUUUAUCUUCAAAAGGCUUUAAUCGGAAGGCCAAAAAGGCUUGUUCUCCGAUCAAGAGGGUGUUUUCUAUGAUUUCUAUGUAAAAAACGGCUGCUUUGAUGAUGACGUUAAUAUUUGAAUCUUUAAAUCUUCAACGCCGAUGGAAGGAGGAUUUAUUUAACUUAAUUUGGAUUUGGAUUUGAAUUUGAGGGAUAAAGCUCUCGACAGAAUUUGACAAAGUUACUUUGAAAUUUAGGAAUUUUAAUGUAUUUUUGCCUUGAGGGAAGACCUUUAUUUAGAGUCAACUUAUGCAAGCUAUGUCUUCAAGAGAAUCCUUCAAAACCAUCUUGCGUUUGGGUAACUUGUACCUUAAGAAACCCAUUUAACUUGGAGUUAAAUAGUGGUCCGACCCAAAUAGUCAAUUGUGAAUUAACAAAUCAAUUAAAUCACUUUAAUUUAAAUGGGCAUCAUAUUUUUUAUUUGAUUAAAUAGCUCAUAUAACAUUGGCUCAAUUUGUCAAUCCAAAACAUAAUGAACUUCUAUAAUUUAAUUCAAUUUAACUAAGAUCAAUUUAAUUUACUUAAUCUUGACUAAAAAUAAAUUAAAUAAAUUUUCGUUGUCUAUGUCCCCACUUCAAAACUUGGCGAGGCAUUGCAUGUUAAUUGCUGGAGGCAAGACUUGAAGUAUUAAUUUUACUGCUGACCUAAAGUCAAACUAAAUUAAAGACUUCAAGCGUUCGGCAUACGGGUGAUCCACUUUUUUUUUUUUUUUUUUUUUUUCCUUUUUCUUUGGGAAGAGAAUGGUCCACAUCAAUUGUAGAAUUGCACCUCAAAGUCCAAUUGAAUAGGCAACGGUCACGGGUCUUCACUUUCACCUACUACUUGAAUAAAGCCUUGAAGCUCUUGAAUUUUCCAACUCUUAAUUUAGUCGUCAAUGGAAGUGCAGCCCCACAAUAUUAGACCGCAACUUUGACCCGUAGAAUUAGAAACCCCCGUUUGAUUAUGCGAUGUGGGCUCCUGCGCAGAAACUCCCAUAUGCUGAAAUUUGGAGUUUGCUCGUACGUUUCUGACCACCAAAUCUUGUUUUGGCACUUGGCAAUAUGGAAUUUGCUGAGUUUCAACGCUUCCUAAACGGAACUUUAAUGUAUUUCCAAAACCAAUGUUUGCAACUUCUGAAUAAGAAUAUGCCAAAUUUUAAGAGCUUCCCAAAUUGACUUCCAGCCAUUGAAAUUAUUCUUGGGAACCAAAUUCAAAUGAUUUCCAAAAAGUUAAACGAUAAUCACUGAAUUUAGUAUCUGUCCAAAACUUAAAACUUCUUAAUAUGAUUCAUCUAAGCACCUUUAUAUAUAUAUAUAUAUAUAUAUAUAUAUAUAUAUAUAUAGGUACAGAAGACAUGUCUUUGUCUUGAAACUGUGACAAACAGGACAUUUAUGACAAGGGCGUGUGAAGACUACCACGCUAUUUGAGGGAAAAAAAACCUGUUUGACACGUAUAUCUUGAAGGUAAUCAUCUUUAUUGUCUUUUGACAACUUCAUGUUGGUCGAGUAUCAGAUAUUCACCAAAUUUUGUUGAAAUCUGUCAAAACUUGAUUUGUUUCUAAUUUGGAGAAAAAAAAAGAUUUUUUUCUUCGUUUCUGCAAUUUUCCAGGUCACUCUUUCCUCUCAACAUGUUACGAUUCAGAAAUUGAGACAAAUCUUGUACAUAGGAAUCUUUUUUAACAGCUGAUGGUUGGAAUUUAGCAGACACCUUGAAGUCAAAGAAGGCAACUAGCAUUCCAAUAGCAUUAUUUGGUUGCAUGCCAUAUCCAAGAUUUUCACUAGUAAGCCACCAUUUUCUUGCUUUUGAUUGUUAUUCUUUCUCUGUUGCACAAUUUUAUUUUCGCACAAUCCAUUUUUUUUCUUUGAAUUUUCUCUUUUGCAAAACAGAGACCACCAAGGAAAGACAGAAAGAUUUUUUGUUUUUGUUUUUGUUUUUGUUUUUGUUUUUGUUUUUUUUUUUUAUGGUUGCACCUUGUGUUGGCACCCCUUAUUUGAAGCAAGUUGAUGUUCCAGUUGUGUUGGGGAUUUUAGGGCCAUAGCUCUUAGAACUCAAAAUACUAAUGUAAUUUCCGCACUCCAUGACAUUUACUUCUUGUCAAUGCCAAACUCUCCUCUUUUUUUUUGUGAUAUGAAAGGAAGAUCUCUCGUUGCAACAUAUAUGGUGGACACUCAAUUUGAAAGAAGGUGCAACCACCAACUUGCACGAGAGCCAUAUCAUGGUUUGAGGAGUAUAAUGAAAAUGAUGCAACUGCAAACUCUUAUGAGAGCCAUAUCAUGGUUGAGAAGUACAAUGAAGAUAGUGCAAUCAAAAAUUUGAAAAAGGUGCAAUCGCAAACUCCCAUGAGAGCCUAUCAUGGAUUGAGGAGUACAACGAAGAAGGUGCCACAAAAUGUCGAAAAAUGUGCAAUCGCAAACUUGCACGAGAGCCUAUCAUGGUUUGAGGAGUACAAUGAAGAAAGUGCAACUACCCACUUCAAUGAGAGCUUACCAAAACUCGAGAAGCCCUUUCAUUUAACUUCACAUUGACUAUUUAUUACUUCUCUCACUGUCUUCGAUCACACCAUUGUAAUCAAAUUUUUUUCUCUUGCUUUUAUUGCAAGUUGGUCCUAACGAAAUGGUGAUGGUCAAGGAAGUUACAUCUUCAAACAAAAGGUACCUCCUUAUCACUAAUAGCCAUGAUGACUCUGCUGACAAAGGAAUGAAAUUAUUGGUGCAUCCCUCUAUACAAGAAACUUACUCUGGUGAUUGGUUUUCUCACAAAUAUUCCGAAUUAAAGGAUUGGUCACUAAAAUUUUCUCAAGAUGAUGGUACAAAAGUUCACUCCUUGAAAUUCCUUAUCAUAAUAAGGAGCCAAGGACAAUUGGCAGGCGAAUCAUAGAUGAAGACACACACUGGGGUGCUUCCUUGAGAUUUAGUGAUGAAUUUGGUUAUAUCGAGAAUUAUUAGGAGCGGUUGGAAGAUAUUUUUGGAAAAAACAAACAAGUGUUUCGUGAAAAUUACUUGUUCGAUGUCUUAUAUGCUUCGCUUCUCAUAUAUAACAAAAAUUCUCAUGUGUUUAGAGCAUUUUGCGAGACAUGGUGCCUAAACACUAAUACCUUGCAUAUGUCAAUUGGAGAAUUAUCUCUCUCACUUUGGGAUCUGUGUAAAUUAGAAGGACUUCCAAUCAUCGGAUACAUCUAUGAAGAGGCGAUCCCAUGUGUAGAGGAACUAACUGGAGUUAAUGAAAAGAAGUUGAUGCAUAUUCCGCAAAAUUGUGAGUAUUUGUUCGCGGCUCUGCACUACCUUCAACAUGGAGAAUACUACAAUUAUGGAGUUUCUGCUAGCCAAUAGAUUAACUUUUGGUUUAAAGGCAACGUGAGGUAUUCAAAACCAAAACAGAGAAGGAUAAAGAGAGCAUCUAGUGCUUAAGCAACCCAAAAUCCAGAUGGAAAGAUUGGACAACCACGUAAUUUUUAAUUCAAGACAAUGGCAUAUAUGAUACCAUUGGAGACAAGUCUCACUUACGAGAAGAGACUUAUCUUGUAGCAUUUAUAUCUUGUUGACUCUACGUUUUUACUCUACCAGAUGAGGACGUCUAUUAUAUUAGACUAUCUACCUUCAAAAUGGCUAGCAUGAUGGCUGUCGGAUAUAAAACUUGCCUUGCUGUUCCUGUCUUGCUGAGUAUCUAUCACGGAUUCAAUAAAAUUUCAAAUUCAUCUACUCCAAGGUGUGCGCGUGCAUUUUUUUCAAUGCACUACGUGUAUGCUUAACUGGCGAGUUAUUUCUCUACCCAUUAUUCAACUCCGAAUAUCAUGCCUGGACCAACAAUUAUCAAUUAUUCUGGAAAGGGUGUGCACAAUAUUUUGAUGAAAAUAGUGCUUGCGACCUCAUUCAUCAAGGAGACAAAGUAACUUGGGGGACAACUUCUCUUGUGAAGAAUUAAAAUGAAUUUUUUGUUGAUGAUGGCAAGUUAGCGAACCCAGAACUGAUUUAUUUCGUAAGUGCUUGCUCAAAUUAUUUAGUCUUACAUGCUGAAGGAGAUUUUCUUGUUGAGCCAUACAGGUUUGCAAGGCAAUUCGAAUUUUAUCAAAACACCCCACAAGAACUGGGAGCAGAUGUUCAUUCUACAAAUUAUGACUUGAGUCAAAUACUUUGACACAUUGCUAUUCAUAAUAAGACAGAGUCGAAGGUAUUUUUUUCUAGUUACCCCUUGAAUGCUAACAAGCAUAUAUCUCCAGAUUUUCAAACAUGAUGUUUUGAUUAAGAGUGUCCAACCAAAUUUGAAACAGAAGAAAUCGAAAGGAAAGAAACUUGCAAAUUUGAAUAAUCCUGUCAAGGUUGGCAGUAAUCUUGAGGCGAAACAGAAAAUCACCAAGACUGUGAGGAUUGAGGAGAAAGCAUUGCAGAGCUCCAGCAACUCGUGAAAUUCUAAUUUUCAAUGAAGAAUUUUCGAAUGGUAAUUCAUUUUGUCUUCCUUCAAUAAUUGUAAAAGCCACCAAUCAUGAGUCUCGCAAUUCCAAUGAAAAGAAGAGGAGCAACUCUUUUGAUGAGAAGGAUGAGCAAUCUACUAGUACAGACUAGCACUAGAAGCAUAAGAAAUUCAAGGUAAUGACUUUCUCUUUGGAUGAUAUUGUUUUAGACCCUAAAGAAAUGUUUAAGGACAUUCUGGACAAAUAUGUGCUUGGUAUAAGUCAUGCCAAUAUUAUAAGAACAUUCUCUUGCCUUCUUUAGUUUGGCAUUUGAAAUUUACUUAUCAAUUUCAUAUUCAUGAUAUGUCUCAUAACAUUUUCCAUGUAGUUGAAUGAUCAAAACUUGAUUUUUAUUAAUGAUGGGAAAUCAAGCUAAGAAUUCGUUGAAGGACCCACUAUAUUUUAACUUUUAACAAAACAAGUGGUCAAUUCUACUCAAUAAAAGGGCAUCAUUGAAAAUUUCAAAAAGGCAGUGCAUGAUGAAAAUUCAGUUCAACAAAUCAUGCUACAGAAGAAAGAACAUGUGACUUCACCGGAGAAAAAAAAGUUCAAAAUUUUUGAUCCACAACCGUAGCCAAGGGCACCUCAAGUGUCUGAAUUUUGCCCCCAAACUAUGAUCUUAACAUGUCAUCGAGAUUACAUUCAAAUGCUCUGAAAUAAUUUGAAGGUGCUGAUAUCCGAAACAAUCCUGGAACGCAUUUCUGCUCUUAAGAUGAAAGCAAAUGAAAUCAUGGAGGAAAUGCAAAGUUUCAAUGCUAUGAAUAUUUCAAACUUGUAAGGCCUUUUAAAGCCUUUCUUUACAAAACCAAUUCGUUCUGUCGUAAUAAAGUCUUCUUUCUCAAAUAAAAUUUCAAUUGAAUCAUAUAAUGAGUUGUUUUCUAUAGCUACCCAACAUCUUAGAGAUGCUCAGAGUAAGGAGAAAUAAUAACUUAAAAAGUUCUCAACGUACAUGUUAAAAUUUAAAGAGAUUGACCAUGAGAAAAUAGAGCUAAGGAAAUGACUUGAAUCUAUGGGUACUCAUAGGAUGGAAAUACUUUCACUGCUACGAAAGAAACAAGACGAGCUUACCUAAAUGCAAGGCAAGAUGAUCAACUUAUGAAAUGAAAUUCAAAAGAUUGAAGAUUCCCUAUCUUUACUUGUUGAGGAGAGCCAAACAUUGAACAAAAUGCAAGCACUACUUGAAAGCAACUGCAAAAAACUGUCAUCAUUUGAACUUUAGAAUUAGUUACAAUCUUUUACUUUUUUCAAAUUUUAUUUAUUGUCACUUGCCUAUAUUAUAUAGCCACAGGCAUAAUUAAUUUUUUAUUUCACCAUGAAUCAUGAUUUUUUUUAUUUCAUGAUACUCUUGUGGAUAUUUCUUACUUUCCUUUGUUGCUUUCAUUAACCACCAUUUUAGACUAUCGAUUGCAAAAUAAACAAUUCAACAUUUGCAUAAUUUUAAUCACAUUUGAAGAGGUAAUUGUCUACAUAAUUUGAUAAUUUGAACAAUAUACUUUCAGGUGUAUGUUGCAAAGUAAUUUGAAUUGCCCUAAAGAGAAAAACUUUUUAUCUUUUAUUGCAUGACAUCUUUAUGGGGUUGUAACUGAAUUUCGAAGUUACCAUCUAAACUGUUUGCAUAUCCCAAAAGGGAAUAAAUUCACGUGUAGUUCCUACCAUCCACAGUUUAAUUUCUUGCAGGUCAGGAGUAUCUAUUUGCUUAUCACUUUAAACUUGGUGGAGUGUUUUAGUAGUUUAACCAUAUACUACACUAUUGGUGAUUGCCGUCCACAGUUUUAACUCAUAUGGACCAAGAGCAACAUGCAGUUUAGACUCAUGUGUCAUGAAACAACAUGCAGUUUAGGGUCAUGCGUCAUGUUGUCCUUUAUUUUUUUUAUGGCGUGUAUAAUCUUAAGAAAUUUUCAUUUAUGGGUCAACAUUUACACCAUUUUGUCAACUACCUUGUACGCGUUAUUUGUAUAAACAUUUCGGAUAAUAUAUGGUCCAUCCUAUUCGGAGACAAAUUUAUCUUUAGCAUGAUGAGUCAUAACUAUUGAUUUUCGAACGGCGAACACUAUGUCACCAAUUUGAAAGGAAUGAUGAUGAUAGCUUUAGAAAGGUAAGCCUGGUAGCAUUCAAGAUUUUGUUGAGUUUCCAAUUCCUUUUCAUCUAAAGUUUCUAAUUCUUUAAGAAGCAAGCAAAUAUUUUCUUUCUCCAUGAGCCCUUAUUGGAUGGCAAUUCUCAGAGAAAGAAUUUGUUGUUCAAGAAGCAAGACAACUUCUACACCAUAAACUAAGGCAUCAGGGGUGGCUUGCAUUGGAAUUCGAUAUGUGGUGCGAUAAACGCAGAGAGUUUCACCUAUCAUUUCAUGCCAAUCCUUCUUUGAUCUGGCCAUCACUUUUUUCAACAAGUUGCAUAGAGUUUUAUUGAAUGCCUAAACAAUACUGUUGGCAGGGACAUUAUACAUAAAGGACUUGCGAUGUUUGAAUUUAAAUUUCUCACACAACCUAUCCAUUAAACAGUUGAAGAAGGGUUUCCAUUAUCAGUGAUAAUGUGUUAGAGAAUUUCAUAACGAUAAAUAAUAUUUACACGAAUGAAAUUCACCAUAUCUUCUUUUCUCACUUGAGUGGUAUAGUUUCAUCCCAUUUAGAGAAGUAGUUGGUUGUAACCAAUAUAUAUAGAUGUUGUCCGAACGACUUAGGCAAUGGUCCAACAACAUUAAGGUCCCAGGCAUCAAAAGGCUAAGAAGUAAUAGUCAAAUGUAAUAGUUCGGGUAAUUGAUGAAUGUAAUUUGCAUAGAAUUGACAAGUUUGACACCUUUGAGCGUAUUCCAUACAAUCUUUGACCAUAGUAAGGCAAUAAUAGCCCAUCAUUUUAAUCCAAAAAUGCAACUUGGGACCGAAUUGGUGAGUUUGACAUAUUUCAAAAUGUGCCUCUUGCAUAGCUUGAUAUUCAUUAUCUUCAUUCAGACAGCGCAAGAAUACACUUUCAAAUGAUUUUUGAUAUAGCGUAUCUUUGUAUAAGAUGAAACGGGGGCACGACAAUAGAUAUCAAAUCUUUUAUGUUGCUCCUUAGGUACCUUUUGAUACUUGAUAUAAUUGAUAACAGGUUGUCUCCAAUCUUCUUUAUCAACUUCAUAAGUUGAGACGACAUAAGCAUCACCUUCCUCAAUAUUUUCAUUAUCAAAUAAUGGUGAAACUAUCCACUUUUGAUACACACGAACUUGUAUUUCAUAAUUUGACAUAGUCAGAGAAGAAGCAAGCAUAGCUAAUGCAUGAGUUUGCUUAUUUUCUCUUUUAGGGACAUGUUCAAUACUUGUACCUUCAAGUUACCUUAUAAGUUGCGUUGCAUUCUUGUGAUAUGGAAUUAAUUUAAAUUUUUUAACAUCAUAAUUUCCCAAGGGUUGACUAACGACUAAUUGUGAGUUGCCAUAGAUUUGAAACUCAAAUUAUUUCAUGUCAAUAGUUAUUUCAAGUCCGAAUAUGAGGGUUUGAUACUUAACGACAUUAUUUGAACAACGUUGAUUUAGAAUAAAGGAGUAUGGCAAAACUUCUUCAUCAGAUGUUGUAAAUACAAUUUUGACUCCAACUCCAUGACGAUGAGUAGCAGAUUUCAAUAAGGAGUACAUUUUUAUUUGGUAGAUCAUCACUUAACUCCCAUUCAACAAGUAUCGGGUGAUCAAUAAGAAAAUCUACUAGUACUUAACCCUUCACGGCCUUUUGGAAUACAUAAAUAAUUUUAAAUUAUUGUAACUAGGUACCAUUUAGCUAGACAGUUGGAUAGUGUUGGUCUACUUAUCACGUAUUUUAUGAAGUUUGCCUUGAAGAUGAGUCUCACACUGUGUGCUUGAAAGUAGUGUUUUAACUUCUAUAUUAUAAAAAUAAGAGUUAAACACAACUUUUCAAUCGGUGAGUAGUUUAAUUUAUUAGAGAUCAUCAUAAAUAAUAAAGGGCAGUUUCUUUCACUUCAUUAUUUUCUUGUGCAACCAAUACCUCCACUAAACGUUCUUGGGUAACAAUGUAAAGAAUUAAUGGCUUUCUAUAAAUAGGUUCAAUCAAGACAGAUGCCUUCAUGAGAUAAGAUUUAAUGCUAUUGAAUGUAUUGCUGUACGCUUCAUUCCAUUGGAAUGGUACACCUUUCUUCAUAAGGUGAUUAAAUGGUUGACACCUUUCAAUUAAAUUUGAGAUAAACCUCCACAGAUAGGUUAAUCGCUCUUGAAGGCUUUUUAUUUCUGAAUAUUGCGAGAUUCAGGCAUUCUCAAUAUAGCAUCAAUGUUGACUCGAUCAAUUUUAAUACCUCGAUGACAGACCACAAAAUCAAGAAACUUUCCUGAUGUAACUCUAAAUGCACAUUUGAGAGGAUUCAAUUUGAGUUGAUAUAUUUUCAACCGAUCAAAAUUUUGUUUCAAAUCCUCCAAGUGAUUAUUUCUUUUUUUUUUUAUUUAACAACCAAAUCGUCCAUAUAACAUUUAAUAUUUUUAUGAAGCAUGUCAUCAAAAAUAUUUUACAUUAAUCUUUGAUAUGUAGUUUUGAUAUUUUCAAACUAAAGGGUAUUAUGUUAUAACAAUAAAUACCCUUAGGAGUAUGAAAUCUAGUGAGUUAUUUAUCCUCAGGUGUUAUUCGAAUUUGAUUAUAGUUAGAAAAGCUAUCCAUAAACGACAAACCCUCAGACCCAAUAAUUGCAUUAAUCAUGAGUUUGGUGAUGGGUAGAGAAAAAUCAUCUUUGGAACAAGCACUGUUAAGAUCCCUAAAAUUUACGUAGAUGUGAAUUUGCCUGUUCUUCUUUCGUACAGACAUGAUAUUUGAAAUUCAUGUGAAAGACUUAAAUUCAUGAAUAAAUCCAUCAUCAGUGAAUUUAUUGAUUUCAACUUCGAUCAAAUAGACCAAAUCGGGUCUAAAUCACCAUUGUACUUACAUUACAGGUCGAACUCCCUUUUUAAUAGGUAAAUGGUGGACUGCUACUUUUGAAUUUAGACCUAACAUUUCUUUAUAAGUUCAUGUAAAAAUAUCUUGAUACUCUUGCAAGAACUCAACAUAUGUCUUCUCUUCAUCAGAAUUCAAUAAAGCACUUACCUAUAUAGGAUAUGGGUCCUGUGAAGUGCCAAAAUUGAUUUUUUAAGUCAUCUACAGUGGCCUUAACGCCUUGUUCAAAUUCAGGUGAAGCAUCUUCAACAUCUUCUUCUUCUCCAAGGGAAUUAUUAUCAAAUAUGGUUAUAUGGUUGUAUGAAACAAUACUUUCUUCAUCAUCUUCCUUUGAUCUUGUUUCUACAAUAGUAUGCUCUCUAACCUUUAGUUCAGUCCCAUAAAUUAUUAUAAGAUUUGUACAUCUCCUCAUUCUUGAGAGAAUAAUGUUACCAAACUUAUAAAUGUUAUGGGGACAAUCAAAAGAUUCUUCAAAUUCUUUCAGUGAUUUUGUCAUUCUCCAUUUAUUCUUAUGAGAAUUUUGAGACUUUUAUUUUCUUUGUGGUCCUAGUCUUUUGAAGACGAAUACUCACAGAGCCUUAUCCCUAUUUUUAUGAAAAACGUGUGACUUAUUGACUAUUUUAGAAGAUUCAUCUCUUAUAGCAAUAAAUUGACUACCAGCUCUAUUGAUUUUGAUGCGAAUUGGUACAGGUGAAAAAUAGUAAAGAUCAGAUUUAGAAUUCUUAACAGCAUAUCCUUUCCCUUUCAACAUCUUUUGAGUAAGGUUUAACCCAUAAGUCACAUCGCUAGUGGCUUGAGGAGGUUUCAAUACCAGAGAUUUCUUGAAAUCAUACCCAAUUUUGGUAAGAAGUUUAUAAGCAAUAUAAUCAAAAGCUUCAUUAAUUCUUGACGUCAGUAGCAUAUCUUGCUUGAUGUCAAACUCUUUAUUAAGAUGAUCAAACCCUUUGAUUAAAGGCGAUGGUAUAUUCGUAGCAUCAAGUUUAGCCACAGGAAGAGUUAAUCCUUUCAGAGUUUUGUGUGGAAUUGAAGAUGGUUGUCCUUGUCCCAAUCUUGACUUGGGAGGGUAUCCGAAGACAACUGAUUUAUUUUUUAACAAUGAGGCAUCAAUUUUUUUAUGAACUACCUCUUUUGAUUUUGGAAUCACCACUUUCUUCGUUUUGCACUUGAUGAUUCGAGAUCUUGGAUUUUAACCAUAGAUGGAGAUUGUUUAAACUCAUUCUUUAUGUUAUACUGAUUUAUUUUUUAACAAUGAGGCAUCAAUUUCUUUCUGAACUACCUCUUUUGAUUUUGGAAUCACCACUUUCUUCCUUUUGCACUUGAUGAUUCGAGAUCUUGGAUUUUAACCACAGAUGGAGAUUGUUUAAACUCAUUCUUUAUGUUAUAUUUUUGGAUAUAAAAUUUAGCAUUAGCGAUAUGCAUUUCUACUUCAGUGUAAAGAUUAUAAUCAGUUUUCACACUUUUUACCACUCCAUUUCGGUAAUACUUGAAAUAUUGGUGAAGAGUUGAAAGCACAACCCCAUUUUCAUGAAUCCAGGGUCUUCCCAGUAGCAUAUUAUUUAUUGUUUUAGUAUCUAUUACAUACAGUUGUGCUUUAGACAAUAUAUCAUCGAUAACUAUCUCUAAAUUUAACGAUCCAAUAGCUCUUUGCCCUCCUUGAUUAAGGUCUUGUAUUAUUAGUCAGCUUAUUGGAAAGUUUAUCAAUGGAGAUGCCAAAUUCCUUUAGAGUUUUUAAGACAAGGCUAUUGACAGCAGAACCUCUCUCUAUCAAAAUUUUAUUCACAUUUUAUUUUUUAGCAUAAACAGUUACAAACAAAGGACGGUUAUGUGAUGUUGACCCAAAAAACAAGUUGAUAGGGUGUUAAUUGUUAGUAAUUUUAUUGCUAUUUUUCCCCUUUGUCCUUGCCAAAUAUUAUUUUAAUUGUUAACAUAUACUUAUUUUUGGUAUUUGGACCAAUCUACAGGAAGUGGAACUGACAAAUGCUAAAAAGGAGAUUUUAUUGAGAAAAAUCCUUCACAUGCUAGAGCCUCCAGCGGAUAUACAAGUUGGGCCCACAUGGUGUUACAAAUUCGGUUGCUGAUGGGGAGCUCUUAUUAUUGGGAGUUGACUUGUACGUGUAGGAGUCCUCCUACCAAGAGGAAACAAGAAAAAAGGAAUUCGGCAGAGGCCCAUCUUUUGUACUUAGCUUUCUCAAUUCGGUAGGGACCAUGGACUAGAGGUUUUCAUUAGUGAUUGGACUUUAAAAGGGAAGAAACGUAUAGAGGCUUGGGGAUUAUUAUGAUUAGCGUAGCUUUAGUUUUAGUGGUUAGCUAGCGUUUCCUUUUCAUGCGCACGAGGUGCUCGACAAUAUUUUUCAACGGGAAAAAAAAACAUCUUUUACUCUUGCUUUCUAGUGAAAAACUUGAUGCCUUUGCAAUCAAUUAAUUUGCGUGGAGAUUUAAUUAUGCGGCGUGGCUAAGCCUUUUAUCUAGUCAAGGAUCAACUCGACGGCGCAGUCCCAAAUAUCUGUGAGAUCUAAUUAGUUUUCACGCGUUUCUUAAUUUGUUAAUAUUUGCAUGUUGCCUAUUUGAAUUUCCACGGGAUUAUUUUGUUAAUUGGAUAUCAAGAGCCCGAUGUUCAAUGUGACUUAUUAAUUUCCUGCCAAAUUAGUCAAUUAAAUCCGUAAUUGUUUGAUUGAUUAAUAUUAGUAGCAACUGACAUGUUUACACACUAGAAGAACGUGCAAUCUAAUUUAAAUAACCCUCGUAGCGUGUUAUUGAUUGGGAUUAGAUUUUUCUAGUUAUUAAUGCAAUUGGGAAAUUAAUUCAUACAGUUGUACCUAGGAGUAUUUUCUGGUUAGGAGUAAUCAUUGGUCGUACCUUGGUUAUCAAUAAAUUAAGGAAAAAUUGGUCGUUAGAAUUCGUCGGCGACUAUAACUAGCCUAUUAAUAAAUUAAGUGAACCUCCCUUGCAUCAAUGAUCGGGUAAGUGGACUGUGUCUGAGUAGUUGUAUUCUUAACUAAAAUUUAUCUAUUCUUGAUUUAAUUCCUGCCUAUAUUCGUGCUAAUUAAUUAUUUAUUUUUAGUGAAUUGCUUAAUUAUUUUUAGUUUUACUCCAAUAAAAUUCCUCUUUACCAAUUGGAAUCUCAAAAAGACAAAUAUUCUCAGUCCCUGAAGAGACGACCCUACUUGCCAUUGUCUACUAUUUAGUAAGUUUUGUCAACUAAUUAAUUUUGGUAUAUCGGAUUAAGCAAAUUUUUCGGGAACAGGGUGAAUUAAGUAACCUAUUGCACAUCUAGAGUCCCGGCUCUAAUAUCUAGGAUUCAUUAUUGACUGCUUUUAGUGGUAUUUAGGUUAUUAUUAUUAUUAUUGCACAGUCUCGACACCUGUCAAUUUUUGGCGUCGCUGCCAGGGACUGGCGUUAAUUAUUUGUUUUUUUAAGUUCAAUUUUGUUCUAAUUUUCUGGUAUUUUUUCUAAUUUAUGCAUCAUUCUUCUCGUAUAAGUGAAUUAAUUUUCGACCCUGAAGUAGAGAAGAUCGCGCGUAGAACGAGAAAAGAAACCAGACAAUUCAGAGAAGAGCACUCAAGUACUACAUCUCAGAGACUUGAGCCGGAAGUUGAACCGGCAAAUUCGUUUGGUAACACUUCGAGUGACUCGGAUCAAGAGAAACUCACCAUGGCAAAUGCACAAACAUUAAGGGAGUUGGCUGCUUCUAAUUUAAAUCAACAGCCUUUAUGCAUUGCUUUCCCAAGUUUGAAUGAUGACACCCUCUUUGAACUAAAAUCUGGUCUAAUUCAUCUCUUGCCAUCUUUUCAUGGUUUACCAGGUAAGGAGCCCUACAAACAUUUACAAGAGUUUGAUGUUGUUUGCAACAGUAUGAAACCCCCGGGAAUCACAGAAAAGCUGAUAAAAAUGAGGGCCCUCCCCUUCUCUUUGAAGGAUUCAGCGAAAGAUUGGCUAUACUACCUACCACCAGGUAGUAUCACCACGUGGGACCAGUUGAAAAAAAAAUUCUUAGACAAAUAUUUUCCUGCGUCUCGGGCCGCCAGCUUAAGGAAAGAGAUAUGCGGUAUCAAACAACACCCAGGCGAGUCUCUCUAUGAGUACUGCGAGAGGUUUAAGAAGCUGUGUAUCAAAUGCCCUCAGCAUCAGAUAAGUGAGCAACUGCUCAUCCAAUAUUUCUAUGAGGGACUACUCUUCACGGACUGGAGCAUAAUCGAUGUUGCCAGUAAAGGGGCGCUAGUGAACAAGACCCCUCGAAAAUCUUGGGAGUUGAUUGAGGGGAUGGCUGAAAAUUCACAGCAGUUUGGUGGGCAGUGGCGAUGGCGAAGGCUCGCGGGGGUGGAAGAGCCGUUGGCGCGACUGGGGCCGCGCGGCUGCUAGAAUCUAGUUGCAUCAGUCUCUGUGGUCCUUGGGAUCUUUGAUUCGGCUGUUCCAUAGCUUGUCGAUCCUUUGUUGCAUCCCUGUAGGCAUUGUAAUUCCUGUUGAUUGAGUUGUUAUCUAGUUUUUGAGGGCACCUCUAGUAGUUCCUUUAUUUGGGAGUUAUUUGGGGUUGAGUUGGGAGUUAUUGGCCAAUUGAUUCCUAUUUUGCUUUCGUCCUGUUUCUGGUACUGUAUGGUUUUGAUUGGGGGGUGUCUCAGUGGUUUGGGUUGCCUGUUUGAAUUGGUUCUUACCUGUGUGUGCACCAGUGGUACUGGUUGUGUUGGGAAUCCGUGACUGAUUUGUUCUUGUCCAAUUGAAGCCAUUUUGAGCAAUUUUGGGGUGAACACAUUUUGUCAUUAAUUGUUGAUUGUUGGGGGACGUUUUUGGUAACACUUGAGUUGAUAGGGUGUUAAUUAUUGGUUAUUUUAUUAUUAAUCUCCCUUUUUAUUCUUGCCAAAUAUUGCUUAAUUGUUAAUAUUUACUCAUAUUUGGUAUCUGGACUUAAUUUCAGGAAUGAAGUAGAAAACUACCAAAAAGGAGGGAUUUUAUGGAGAAUAUGGAAACUUCUAAGGGCUUCAAUUCUUGGGCCCUUGAAUUGGUGGGGACCACAAGCUAGUGAAAGGCAUUUAGUCAUUUGAGCUCUUCAAAAGAAGCUACGUAUAUUUUAUUUUAUUUUAUUUUAUUUAUUUUAUUUAUCUCUUAUUUUUUUUUAUAUAGUUUAUGGCUUCUAACACUUCGUAUUUUGGUGAUAUACUGGAUUUUGUUUCCGGGAAAGGCAAUGUGACUAGUUUUUUUGCUAAGUCUGCAUAUGCAGAGGCACUAAACUCUAUUAGAGAAAGAAUGGCUGCUGCAACCUGUAAAAUUUGUUAUACCAGGGAUCAUUCAACCGGUAUGUGCCCCGAAUAUCAAGAUAAUCUGAGUGUCCCAUUCGAUAAUUAUGGAGAAUUUUCACCCUGGUCUCAAACGUGGUACGACCCUAAUCCAAACGGGUAUGAUCAAGGAUGGUGGGAUAACUCCAAUUAUAAUUAUACAACGGGACCAAUGAAUUUUCAGCAGUAUGAGUCUCAAGAAUCGUCAUCUAUGUCAGGUAUGUCUCUUGAAGAAAUAGUUGAACCAAUAGCUACUAACACAUACCAAUUCCAACAGGAGACACAAAUGAGGAAUGAGAUGAUGAAGGAUGCAAUGAGUUAUCUGGCAGAUCAACUAUGUCUAUUGACAUCCAGAAUAAAUCGAUGGGCUUCUCAAAUGGAAGAACUGCCCUCGAAAACCAUUGUUGACCUAGAAGAAAAUGAGAGUGCAAUUUGCUUGACUAGUGAUGAGGAGAUGCAAGAGUGUCAAAAUGAAAAAUCUACAGAUACAGUUGAAAAAGAAGCCGAAAAGGAAGAAAUGGAACCCCAACCGCAACCCAUUCAAGUGAAAGAAUCCAGUGAAGAAUCAUCAAAUGUGGUGACACCACCUCCAUUCCCUAACCCGCAUUUUUUCUAACUCUUACUCUAUGAUUUCUGUUAAUGAGAUUGAUUUUGUUAUACCGGAAGUUUUUGAGUCUCAUGGCAGAAAUAAGUUGAGAGUGGAGAUGGCGAAAUAUCUUGAACCGUUGAAUGCUCUUGAUGGAGGAAUGGAUGAAGAAUUGCGAUCAAUGCUUGAUUAUGUGGCGCCAUCAACUAGUCCAUGGAAGCCCGUGGUUCGUGUGCUCAAAGAUUACUCCAUCUAUGAGGGUUACCAGGAUCAUAUUGAAGAUGAAGCAUUGAAGCGAGCUACAAGAUUUUAUCCUCCAUGAACAAGACAUAACAAUGUCUAGCCAAAGACAUUAAAGAAAGGCGUUUUUUGGGAGGCAACCCAAAUAUUGAUUUUAUUAUUUUUAGUUGUUCAAUUCUUUCGUUCUGUUGUUUCUCAUUUGGAUAGUAGUUGGUCUUGAUAUUUUUCUCCACUGUGAUCAGGAAGUGAAAUCUUGGCGUGCCCACGCGGUGUUUAGGUCUCCUGAGAUCAGAGGACGAACACCAAUCUUGGCGUGCCCACGCGGUGUUUGGGUCUCCUGAGGUCAGUGAAUGUUUUGUAAUCUUGGCAUGCCCACGCGGUGUUUGACGACCCAAAACAUGAAAAAAAAAAAGUUUCAAAAUUUCACAUUGAGAAAAUUCAAAAAUUCAAAAGGCAUUUUUCUUUUUCUUCAAAAAUUCAAAUUUUGGAAUUUCAAAUUCAGGAAAAAAUUUGAAAAAAAAACAUUGAGAAAAAAAAACCCAAAAAGAAAAAAUUAAGAUUCAAAAAAAAAAAAAAACUAUUUUUUUUUCUCUCUUUUUCUUUUUCUCUUUUCUUUUUCUUUUUUCUUUUCUUCUUUUUUCUUUCUUUCUUCCUUCACCACCGCAGCAGCUACCCCACGCGACUCUCCUCCGCCUACCCCAGCGCACAGCCCAGGCCACGCGCUCCCUCCUUCCUGCAGCCCGUCGACGAAGCCCACCAGCCACCACCAGCAGGCCGCGGCUCCUUCCCCCUUGCGCGGCCACAGCUCGCGAACCACCUCUCCCACAGCGCGCGGCCUUCUCCCUUAUCUUUUGGCCGCGCGUCAUUGGCUCGCCCAAGGGCAGCCGCCGCCGCCGUUCCUCACAGUCAAGCAAUCGCAGGCCAAAGCCCACAACCCCAGCCGGCGCCGCCCGCAGCUCCUCGUGCGUGACAGCCGUGCGACGCCGCGCCUCCCUCAGCAACAGCUCCAAGCUCCAGCUCACUCGCAGACAGCCGCGCGAUUCUCAGCCAUUCACCUCGCGCGACCCCGAGCGCACAAUUCCGCGUGCCGCCAUCGAAGACCGCCGCGCCUCUCCCUCAGCCCGCCAUUGCGCCCCACCACUGUCCCGCUGUCUACGGUUGGGCACAAGGGAGGUACUUUUAAAAGAAAUUUUUAAUUUAAAUACGAGAAUGUCAAUUUCUAAAUUCUGGGGCUGUUUAGUGAUUGUUUGGAUUUCUUGGUGGAUUUGGUUGGCCGUCUGAUUAAAUUCUUCCUUGUGUGAUAACCAGUGGUACUGGUUGGGGUCUUUCGACCAUAGUUGUUGCUUAUAUUUGGUCAGAUGUCUGCUUGUUUGAAAGUUCACGUUCUUGUGAUUGAGUUGUUGCUCAAAUUCUGAUCUGCUGUUGCUAGAACUUUUGGUUGGUUGAGUUGUGCAAUUGACUGUCCAAUUGGAGACAGUUAUUGAGAUCUUAGGUGGGAUGGUGUCCAAUUGCUAAAAUUUGUUGCUUUGUUUCGUCACUCGCACUGCUCCUAGUUUGUUCGAGUGAAAUUGGUUGGAUGUUCUUUGCCCGUGGAGUGUAACUGUUACAUUGUUUGGGGCAGUUUUUUGGUAUUGAUUGAAUUGUUGGGCGUAAAUUGCUCAGGACUUUACAUUGCUAAUUUGGUGGGCCAUUUAUUGUGCAUUACCCUUUUGAAUUGGGAGAUACCUGUGCUUAUUGGGUUUUGACUACUUGAGAUUUCUGUUGCAUCUGGGGGAUAAAAUUUGAUGACUUUUGUGCCAGUUUAUUUGUUUGGAAAUUGUUGGGGGUAAUUUGGGAGUUACUUGUCAAUUGGGUCCCGUGUUACCCUCUACCAUUCAGUGGUACUGAUUGGUGUGUUUGGCUUUAUCACAUGUCUUGGGUUGGCCAUUUGAUUUCAAUUUUCCUUGUGCAUGCACCAGUGGUACUGGUGAGGGUAGUUUACAUAAUAUUUGUUACUCCUGUGUUAUUGGUUGCCUAAUCGACUACUGGGCAUUUGUGGUUGAAUUGUUUCUGUCCAACUUCUGAACUGUUGUUGCUGGAGUGCCAUUUUCUUGGGUCAAUUGCUGAUUUUAGCAAGUUGAAGUGGGUAAUUGACUGUCCAAUUGGAGACAGUUGUUACGAUAUUGGGUCCGAUUGUGUCUAAUUGCUGGAAGUUGUUGAUUUAUUAAGACACUAGCACAGUUCCUAGUUUGUUCGAGUUGCUGUUCUGUUGCAUUAUUGGGAGCUGUGCUCUAGUAUUGUGGCUACUUUCCUGCGUUUAUUUGUUGAAUUGGGAUAUGAAUGUGCCUAUUGCUCAUUUUGUUGCAUCUAAUUGACUUGCUUGGGGUAAUCUGCCCAUCAAUUUUAAUUACUCAAGUCUUUGGAGCAGUUGUUGCACAUUUGGACUACUUUGUUUCUAUAUCUGACUGAAUUGGGACCACAAGUGCUUAUCAAUUGCAUUUGCUAUAAGUAUUGGGGUAUUCGUAUAGAUUUUAGGAGCCUGCAUUGUGCAUUUUAUUGUUUGGGUUGCCUACUAGUUACCAUGGUGAAGCCACGAUCCUCCCCCAGGGGCCGAUGACUGGCUCCAACUUUCGAUGACAGUUGAGAGACUGGAGACUCGAGUGACCCACAUUGACAUCGACUUGCAUAACAUGGCGCAGAAUUUGGCAGCACUCCGCCCGACCCGCCCCUGUUUUGACAAUUUCAAGGAAGUACCGUUGCCCUUCUCUUUACUUUUGUUGUUGGUUUAUCACAUUGAGGGCAAUGUGUGAUUUAGGUGUGGGGGGAUCAGUUUGGGUGCUAGUAUUUUUAGUUUUUAGGUUCUAGAGGUUUUUCUUUUGUUUUAGUUUGAUAUUUAGUUCUUUUUUUUUCGUCUAUUUUAUUUUAUUAUUAUUAUUUUUUUUUCUUUCUCCUUUUUUCUAGUGGUCAGUCUUCAUAUGAAUACCAAGUUUGAUACUGGAUUGUUGUCUCUAAUUCUGCUAUUGCCAAGUCUUAUUAAUAAAAGGGUAUUAAGUUAAUGUGCUUGAGUUCAGGAAUAUCUCUUUGGUGAAUAUCGGUAAUUGCUUAACUUUUUCAAUUUUUGGUUAACUUUUCUAGGCAUAGGGAAUGAUUGUUGGCAUUUUUCAUGUGAAUUGGUUCAGUUAUUAAUUUUAGUUCUCCAUGUCUGGAAAUUUGAGGCUGGCUGCUGUUAAUCUUAUGUUGCUUUUAGAUAUCGUGUUAUAUGGUUGUAAAUAAGAGUUGACUGUACUCCGCUAGUGGUUACUACUGAGUAACCGGGGAUUUUCACCUAAAGUGUCGAUUCUCGCGUCAAAAGGUAGUAGUUGCUAUGAAUGCGUGGUCCUGUAGCGAUCGGAGCUGAGUAACCGGGCUCCUCCAUCUGAUAAAUGUUGGAGUUCGCGUCAAAAGGCUCUAAAUGGCUAGAGACUAAGUCUUUUGCUAUUCCCAAAAAAAAAAAGAAAAAAAACAAGUAAAGUUUGUGUUAGUAUUUAAAAAAAAAAAAAAGAAAGUCAGCUUGCCUAUUUGUGAUCUUAAUGUCGAGAUUUUGGUUAAUAGAUGGACCAUUUGCUGAUAAAUGUGAGCAACCAUUCCUUUUCCUUAGAUUAGUUUGCUUCAAAUUGAAGGAGUUGGUGGUUUAGAGGCUAAUCGGGGUGAUUUUUCUUGGAUGUUGACCUGUGAUGCUUGAUAUUUAUUUUUCUUGGACAUCUUGGCAAUACGGUAGUUGGAGUAACAGCCAUGGUCAACUUUUGGUGUUCAAUUGUUGUUCCCAUACUUGAGGGCAAACAUGAUUUAGGUGUGGGGGGAAUUGAUAGGGUGUUAAUUAUUGGUUAUUUUAUUAUUAAUCUCCCUUUUUAUCCUUGUCAAAUAUUGCUUAAUUGUUAAUAUUUACUCAUAUUUGGUAUCUGGAUUUAAUUUCAGGAAUGAAGUAGAAAACUACCAAAAAGGAGGGAUUUUAUGGAGAAUAUGGAAACUUCUAAGGGCUUCAAUUCUUGGGCCCUUGAAUUGGUGGGGACCACAAGCUAGUGAAAGGCAUUUAGUCAUUUGGGCUCUUCAAAAGAAGUUACAUAGAGAGACUUGGAGAAAGAAGUACUUUGGAGGCUUUGUCCAUAUGUGUGGGGACCACCUAGAUAGCUUUUAGUCAUCUUUCUUUUGUUGCUUUAAAAGGGGACAACGUACAGAAGCAAAGGACAUCUAGGGCUUUAGUUUUAGUUUUUUUAGUUUAGUUCUAGUUUCCUUUCUUUGGACUGGCCUCUGACACACGCCAGGUGUUCGACAAUAUUCCCCAACGGGAAGAUUUUCUCAUGAGGCGUGGUUAAGCUUUUCUAGUCAAGGGGACAACUGACGAUUUGGUUCGACAAUUACUGUGAGAUCGAAUCUGUUUUAAUUAUUUUCUUCAUUUAUUGGUAUUUAUAUGUUCCUUGAUUUUAAUUGCUAUGGCCUUGUGUAUGAUUGAUUAGUGCGCAAUAAUUAAUUAUUCAUAUAGGCUAUUUUUGCUAAAUAGGGGUAAUUGAAUCCGUAAUUGUUCGUUAUCUCUACCUCAGUAGCAACUGGCGUAAAUGGGUUUAUGUCAGGGGAGCAUAUGAUCUAAUUUAAACAAACCCUCGUAGCGUGUUUGUUGGUUAGGAUUGGGCCUUUCUAAUUAUUAAUGCAAUCUAGAAAUUAAAUCCUACGGUCGUACCUAGGGUUGUUUUUGGGUUAGAGAAAUAGCUAACGGUCGUACCUUAGCUAUCGAGAAAUUAAGGAAGGGUUGGUUGUUUAUCGCGUGCAUGACAACUAUAACUAAUCUAUUGCUAAAUGUUGGAAUUAUUUCUGCAUCAAUGAUCAGUGCAUGAACCAUUUCUGAUGUGUACCCUUGGCUAGAGUUUCCCCAAUCAUUUCUUUUAAUUAAUUAUUUUCUGCAGUUAAUUUAUUUAGUUAGCAUUUAAUCCAAAACCCCCCAUACUUUGGACUCUAGAAGAAACGAAUUAUCCCCAAUCCCUGUGGAUUCGACCCUACUCACCGCUAUAUACAAAAUCUGUAUCUUUAUUGAGUAGGUAUUUAUUAUUGUACAGGUUCGGCACCUGUCAAUUUUGGGGUGAACACAUUUUGUCAUUAAUUGUUGAUUGUUGGGGGACGUUUUUGGUAACACUUGAGUCUAUUUUGCUGAGUUCUGUUGAUAGAGCAGUUAUUUGGCACAUUUUACAGUGUUAUUUUGUCCUAAUUUUGGCUAUUCAUGGUGUUAAGAAUUGGAAUAUCACUCAUAUUUGAUGUUUGUGUGAAUUGUAGGUGGUCGGCAUUAAAAAUGACCUCUCAAGGCAAAUUUCUAGAAGACUCUUCGUCUCAGAGCAUGGCCACGCCAGAGAAGGUCGAUGUUACCGAAAAGCCGGACCCCGGUCCACGUGAACCGCAAGGAGCACGGGAUUAAAGCUCUAAAAGGCUAGCUUUUGUUUCAAUCAAUUGGGUCAGACAUGACUUGGCUCCUAGAGGCUUCAAUUAAAAAAGAAAAGAAAGGGCCAGACGUCGAGGGAAUGAGAAUGAGGAAACUAGGUCUACAUGGACCAGCUACACGGGAUAAAAACUCCAAUGAAGAGAAGAGCUCUGCUCCGCGUGGAUUUCCCCUGCGGCACUAUAUAAGACAACAAAAAAGGUGAUGCAGCGGAGAAUAUAGAUUAGCUUUGAUUUUCUUUUCGAGAGGGGUCAGGCGAUUGCAGACUUUUGUAGCUUUUCGGUUGUGACACUUGGACUCCUUGGCUUUUGUUUUGACUCUGCACAAUUUACGUUAGUUUUUGUUCGUACACUUGCGGCACCAAAGCAAAGACGAAGGCAGUGCCUUCUCUGUUGUUACUGCAAUUAAUUCCCCUUCCCCAAUUUUCGGCGAAUAAUUGAAUGAAUUCAAUUAAAUCACGCGGGAUUGACACGAUAAGGAGCGGCUAAUUUUCUCCUCUACCCAAAGGUUGACGCGAAGGCGCGGUCCAUAAUAUCUGUGAGAUCUAAUCGAAUUUUCAUUAUUUCUUUCAAUUUAUUGCUAUUCGUACGUUUCCUGAAUUAAUUGUUCAUGAGUAUUUUACUAAUUGAAUAUCAACGGCCGGGUAUUUGAUUUAAUUUAAUAGUCUACUGCCACGUUAAUUAAAUAGAAUCCGUAAUUGUUCAUUUAGUUAACACCUCGUGGCAACCACCAUAAUUGGCUUUAUGAUGGGAAAACGCAAGAUCUAAUUUAAAUAAACCCUCUUAGCGUAUUUAUUGGUUAGGGUUGGAUUCUUCUAGCUUUAAUGCAAUUGGGUAAUUAAAUUCUCACGGUCGUACCUAGGGUUGUUAUCUGGUUAGAGAAGCAGUCAAUGGUUGUACCUUGACUAUCGAAAAAGUAAGGAAGAACUGGUUGUCAGAGCUUAUUGAUAACUAUAACCAACCUAGUGAUGAAUGGAUGAAAUACCUUUGCAUUGAUGAGCAUCUGUCUUGAGUCCAUUGAAGUGCCGUUGGUUGAGUAAUUUCUGCGUCUUUUUGUUGAAUUGGAAGGCUAUUGUGACACUUCCAUUGCACUUUCGGAAUGCAUUGUUUCUGUAUUUGACUAAAUUCAGGCCACCAGUGCUUCUUGAUUGCAAUCACUGUGCUGUUGGGGUAUUUGUACAGCUUUGAGUACCUGAAUUGUGUUUGUGUUGGUUGGAGUACCAUUUAUAGAGAAUGGUGAGACCUAAAUCCUCCUCUAGGUCUAGGACACCUAGAACUUCUCAGCCUCCUCCCACCCUAGGGGCUAACGAUUGGCUCCAACUCCGAAUGCAAGUUAAGAGACCGGAGAUUCGAGUGACCCACAUUGACAUCAACUUGCAUACCAUGGUGCAGAAUUUGGCAACAAUUAUGCACCAUGCGGGUCUUGUUCCUCAGUUUCCGUCUGACCCACCCCUGUUUUGACGACUUCAGGGAAGCACCGGUGCUCUUUUGCUUACUUUUGCUAUUAAAUUAUCACAUUGAGGGCAAUGUGUGAUUUAGGUAUGGGGGGGAUCAGUUGUGGUACUAGUAUUUCCAGUUUUUGAUUUUUAAGUGUUUUUCCUUUGUUUUUAGUUUGAUAUUUUUCUCUUUUUCGUUUAUUUCUUUUAUUCGUGAUCAGCUCUUAUUUGAAUACCAAGUUUUGAUGUUGGAUUGUUGCCUCUAAUUCUGCUCUUGCCAAGUUUUAAUAAUAAAAGGGUAUCAAGUUAAUAUGGUUGAAUUCAGGAACAUCUCUUUGGUGAAUAUCAAUAAUUGCUUAACUUUUCCAAGUUUUGGUUAACUUUUCUAGGCAUAGGGAAUGAUUGUUGGCAUUUUUCAUGUAAAUUGGUCCAAUUAUUAAUUUUAGUUCUCUAUGUUUGGAAAUUUGAGGCUGACUGCUGUUAUUUUUAGUUAUUGUGUUAUAUGAUUGUAAAUAAUAGAUAACUGUACUCCAUUAGUUGUUACUACUGAGUAACCGGGGAUUUUCACCUAAAGUGUCGAUUCUCAUGUCAAAAGGUAGCAGUUACUAUGAGUGCGUGGUCCCGUAGCGAUUGGAGCUAAGUAACCGGGCUCCUCCAUCUGUCAAAUGUUGGAGUUCGCAUCAAAACGCUCUAAGGGUUAUAAACUAAGUCUUUUGUUAUUCAAAAAAAAAAAAGAAAAAAAGAAGCAGAAGAAAACAAAAGAAGCAGAUUGUGUUAGUAUAUGAAAAAGUCAGCUUGCCGAUUUGUGAUCUUAAUAUCGAGAUUUUGGUUAAUAGUUGGACCGUUUGCUGAUAAAUAUGAGCAACCAUUCCUUUUUCUUAGAUUAGUUUGCUUUAAAUUGGAAGAGUUGGUGGUUGGGAAGCUAAUCGGGGUAAUUUUUCUUUGAUCUUGACCUGUGAUGCUUGAUAUAUGUUUUUCUGGAUAUCUUGGCAAUACGGUAGUUGGAGCAAUAGCCAUUGUCAAAUUUUGGUGUUCAAUUUCUGCUCUCAUGCUUGAGGGCAAGUAUGGUUUAGGUGUGGGGGGAAUUGAUAGGGUGUUAAUUGUUAAUAAUUUUAUUGCUAUUUUUCCCCUUUGUCCUUGCCAAAUAUUAUUUUAAUUGUUAACAUAUACUUAUUUUUGGUAUUUGGACCAAUCUACAGGAAGUGGAACUGACAAAUGCUAAAAAGGAGAUUUUAUUGAGAAAAAUCCUUCACAUGCUAGAGCCUCCAGCGGAUAUACAAGUUGGGCCCACAUGGUGUUACAAAUUCGGUUGCUGAUGGGGAGCUCUUAUUAUUGGGAGUUGACUUGUACGUGUAGGAGUCCUCCUACCAAGAGGAAACAAGAAAAAAGGAAUUCGGCAGAGGCCCAUCUUUUGUACUUAGCUUUCUCAAUUCGGUAGGGACCAUGGACUAGAGGUUUUCAUUAGUGAUUGGACUUUAAAAGGGAAGAAACGUAUAGAGGCUUGGGGAUUAUUAUGAUUAGCGUAGCUUUAGUUUUAGUGGUUAGCUAGCGUUUCCUUUUCAUGCGCACGAGGUGCUCGACAAUAUUUUUCAACGGGAAAAAAAAACAUCUUUUACUCUUGCUUUCUAGUGAAAAACUUGAUGCCUUUGCAAUCAAUUAAUUUGCGUGGAGAUUUAAUUAUGCGGCGUGGCUAAGCCUUUCAUCUAGUUAAGGAUCAACUCGAUGGUACAGUCCCAAAUAUCUGUGAGAUCUAAUUAGUUUUCACGCGUUUCUUAAUUUGUUAAUAUUUGCACGUUGCCUAUUUGAAUUUUCAAGGGAUUAUUUUGUUAAUUGGAUGUCAAGGGCCCGAUGUUCAAUAUGGCUUAUUAAUCUCCUUCCAAAUUAGUCAAUUAAAUCCGUAAUUGUUUGAUUGAUUAAUAUUAGUGGCAACUGGCGUGUUUAUACACUAGGGGAACGUGCAAUCUAAUUUAAAUAACGCUCGUAGCGUGUUAUUGAUCGGGGUUAGGUUUUUCUAGUUAUUAAUGCAAUUGAAAAAUUAAUUCCUACGAUCGUACCUAGGAGUAUUUUCUGAUUAGGAAUAAUCAAUGGUCGUACCUUGAUUAUCAAUAAAUAAAAGAAAAAUUGGUCGUUAGAAUUCGUCGGCGACUAUAACUAGCCUAUUAAUAAAUUAAGUGAACCUCCCUUGCAUCAAUGAUCGAGUAAGUGGACUGUGUCUGAGUAGUUGUAUCAUUGGCUAGAAUUUAUCUAUUCUUGAUUUAAUUCCUGCCUAUAUUCGUGCAAGUUAAUUAUUUAUUUUUAGUGAAUUUUUUAAUUAUUUUUAGUUUUACUCCGAUAAAAUCCUCCUUUAUCAAUUGGAAUCUCAAAGAGACAAAUAUCCCCAGUCCUUGAGGAGAUGACUCUACUUGCCACUGUCUACUAUUUAGUAAGUUUUGUCAACUAAUUAAUUCUGAUAUAUCGGAUUAAGCAAACUUUUCGAGAAUAGGGUGAAUCAAGUAACCCAUUACACACCUAGAGUCCCUGCUCCAGUAUUUAGGAUUAAUUAUUGACUGUUUUUAGUGGUAUUUAUAUUUUUAUUAUUAUUAUUGCAUAGGCUCGACACCUGUCAAUUUUUGUGAUGUUGACCCAAACAACAAAGGACGGGUUAUGUGAUGUUGACCCAAAUAACAAGUCUUCACUAGUGAAUGUGAUAUUUGUGAUAUCCACCUCUUUAUUACCAGUGGGCACGUGAGUUAUCUCACAAGGAGAUUCGCGAGUAUCAUCCUUUGUUCUUCAAUAUCAUCAACUUGCGUUGUGUGACAUGAGACCAUAUCAAUAUCAAAGAAUCUUUUAGAUAUGAAUUCUUUUAAAAUGAUAGAAACUCGCGACUUUUGCUUGAAUACUUGAUUUUCUUGAAGAUUGUGAUUAUUAUUAUUUUUCUCUAUAUUCUUCUCUUUUCUCUUCCAGACCAUUCUACUUCUUGUUAAGGCCUUGUUUACCUUAUUAGAUGGACGAGAGUUUCAUCUUCAUCUUCGCGUGAUCAGAGUUCAUCCAUCAUCAUCUACGUCUGAUUGUAAUGACUUCUCAUCUUCAUAUUCAUAUUUUUGAAGAGCUGAAGGGGCGAUUUUUUGUUCAACUUCUAUAGGAUCAAAUGAUCCAAAUUGAAUGGUUGGCAAUAUAGGUAUCGUAAACUUUUCGACUUCCAUGGACUGUAGUGAAUCAACGGAGGUUUGAUUCAUACUUGCUUUGUUUUUUUCAAGAAAAUUUUUUUCUUGUCUUGCCAAAUCCAUCAUCUCAUCUUUAAAGACAAAGUAUUUUUGAAUGGGAUGUCCAACCAAGCAAUGAUACUUGAUUUGGAUCAUCCGUAUUACUAAUCUCGUCAAGUCAGUUCAUCUUGGAAGCAUGAUCAAGUUCAUGCUUAACAAAUUAUCAAAUAUACUAGGAACAUCAGAAUCAAGGAAAUUGUACUUCUUGUUUUGCAUCUCCUUGAGUGUUGGUUUUUUCUUUCCUUCGUCUUGAUGCAUACUGGUUUUCUUGUCUUCUCUUUUAGCAGUUCUGAGAAUAAUCUUGAAAGGUGUUAUACUUGCAGCUAUGGCCUCUUUCUCACUUUGAUUGGGGGCUUGCCUCCUUUCCUCACUUCUUGUUUCUCCUUAGCCUUGCGAGAAUCAGGAAUUGGCGGCUCUUGUCCAUCAAGGUUAAUUUCUAUCUUAUGAGUUUUUGGGGAUAAUUCAUCAAAUAUUUCUGGUUAUACCCCUUACAAGAUAUAUCUGAAUCCCCAAUGCAAGUCUUGAAUACACAUCUCAAUAGCGGAAGACUCGAAAAUUCGAUCCUUACAGUUUAGGCUUAGAUUUUUUCGAGCGAUUGAUAAAGUUAAUAACAUGUUCAUUCUUUCACUAGCACAUAUUUUAGAGUUCAAUUAUGCUGACAGUCCUUUUCGUGCUAUAGAAGCAAUUAAGGAAUUCCUACUCUAAUUGCUCCCAACUGUCAAUGCUGCUAGAUUCUAAAUCUGUGUACCAAUCAAACGUGUUACCCUUCAAUGAGUGAACAAAUUGCUUAACUAGCAAGUCACCAUUAGUGCCAGCAUUGUUACAAUUUUCGACAAAGUGCGCAAUAUGUUGUUUAGGGUUACCUUUGUCAUCAAAUUAUUGAAACUUUGAAAAUUGAAAUCCUACAAGCAUCUUCAAACAUUUACUCUUGUGGUGUAAGGUUUGAUAUAAUUGCUAUAUGACUUGGUAUUUCCACCAAUCUUGUCCUUGAUCGUACCUUUGAUAAACUCCUUUAAAUUAUCAACAUGAAUGGUACUAUCAGGAGAGAUUGAAAACUCCUUCAUUAUUCGUGACUUGGUAUCCUCUUUCUCUUUCUUCCUUGAUGAUGAGUUACCUUCAUAUUUUUUACCAUGGCCAUUAGUUUGGCUAUUUUGGCAUCUUGACUUUGCACGUGCCCUGCUAGCCCUUCGACAAUUUGGCAAGAUUUGAAAUUUGAUCUCUACGGUUGUGGUGUUAGUCAUCAUGAUGGGCAUUACCACAGAAGUAGCUAAAUUGCUUGAGCUAUCAGCAGAUUCAUCAUGGACUCCCUUCUUGUUGGGAAAAAUCUCAAAAUUUUUUCUUUCAACCACAGCAUUCGCCUUAACCCUAUCUACUAAUUUCUUAGCCUUGCUCCUUGUCAUAGGUGUAGUAUACUGCAUCUCCUGAGUUGUUGGGAUGCCAGCAACUGAGCCUUCAAGAGCAAAACUCAUCUUCUUGGACUCCAUUGAUUCUUGAAACAAGUAAGCUAUUCAAAGAAAAGAGAUGAAAAACAGAGAUGGUCCCACCAGACGUGUCAUAAAAUUUGUGAGCAUAAAUUUUGUUGCCUAAAAUAAAGACAAGAAAAUUUGCAUAAAUAUCAAAUUUAUUAAAUCAAAUAAUAAAUGGGUUAUAAUUUUUGAAAAUUCUUGAAUUAAAGAUAUUAAUCUUCUAAUUCUUCUCUUCAAAAACUUCAAUUGAAGGGUUGAAAAGACUUGUUUACCGAUCAAGAGGGUGUUUCCUACGAUUUUGACAUAGAAAACCGCUGAUUUGAUGAUGACGUUAAAUAGUUGAUGUUGGGUUUGGAUUUUAUUCCACCAAUCGUUCAUUUUGUUGGAUUUGAGUUUUAUACCACCAACUGUGGGAUAAAACCCAAUCCCAAUAAAAUGAACGGUUGGUGGGAUAAUACUCAAAUCCAAUAAAAUGAAUGAUUGGUGGGAUAAAAUCCAAACCCAACACUUGUAUCUUUAAAUCUUCAAUGUCGAUAGAAGGAGGAUUUAUUUUAACUUGAUUUGGAUUUGAAUUUAAGGGAAAAUGCUCUCGAGAGAAUUUGACAGAAUUUCUUCAAAAUUUAGAAAUUUCAAUGUGUUUUUGUACUAAGAGAAUACCUUUAUUUAUAGGCAAAAUAUGUAGAUUAUGUCUUCAAGAAAAUUCUCCAGAACCUUCUUGCGUUUGGGUAACUUGUACCUCAAGAAACUCAUUUAACUUAGGUUUAAAUAGUGGGCCUAUUCAAAUAAUCCAUUGUGAAUUAAUACAUCAAUUAAUCCACUUUAAUUUAAAUGGGUAACACAUUGAUUUGAUUUGAUUUAAUAGCCCAUAUAUCAUUGGUCUAUUUUGUCAAUCAAAACAUAAUAGACUGCUAUAAUUUAAUUUAAUGUAAUCAAGAUCAAUUUAAUUUAUUUAAUCUUGACUAAAUAAAUUUUCUUUGUCUACAGCAUGUACGUGUAAUUUUCCAAAUAAUGAUACUUUUCAAAGAGAGUUUUCAAAUAAUGAAAGUUCUAAAACAAGGCAUUCACCGAAUGCGUGAAUGUAUCUUUUUAAACAACGCAUUUAGUCAAUACGUUUUUAAGGAAAAAUGCCUAUACAAAUAAAAGAAUGAAUUCUAUAAAUGUGUCUUUUGAGGAAACAACACAUUUACUAAGUACGUUUUUUCACUCUUUGGGAAGAAGUUCAAAAAACACCACCAUUUGAAAGGUAAUUUUAGAAAAUCCCACUUUUUGAGAAUUUACUCAAGCUUGUACUUGACAAAAUGUGUUGGGAAAAUUGUGACGUCAGGUGAAUUGUAAAACUGUUGUGCCAUCGUAAUGUAUGUUUUGCACUAGAUUGAGUAAGAAUUAUAUCAAAAUAGUCGGCCACAAUAUAGGAAUGUGAAAACUUUGUGUUAAGUAAGUUGUAAUAUUUUUGUAUCAUCUAACGUAUAUUUGAAAACGAUUGAGAAUAUAAUAUAUGGAAACAACAGGUCACAAUGUUGAAAUGUCAAACCUCUUGUUUCAAACCAAAUACUUAUUAAACUCCUUCAUAUCGCUAACGAAUUUUGAUUCUGAAGUAAUAAUAGUUUUAUUUAAUUAUUUGCCUUUUUUGGAACAAUAUUAAAAUGUAGCCAUAAAUUUAAAUUCCAAAAUUGUUGAAUACUUGAGGAAUUCUAGAAAUGGCACUGAGAGUCAAAGUUCACCUUAUUCAAAAGUCACCAGCCAUCUCAGAGUGCAUGUUUCUAUUGAGUUUCAGGUUCAAUGUGUACCCACUUCCACUUUUGGCUGAUCAAUCAGGACUAAGGUUCCGUUUGAUAAAACUGAAUCUGAAUUCUGAAAUCUGAAUACUGAAACAAUUAAUUUGCUGAAUUUUAAGUUCUGAAAAGAAAUAUAUGAAUGUCUGAAUUUUAAUGUUAAAUCUAUUUCUACUGUUUGAUAAACAUUUAUAACUGAAUGCUUAAUAAGUUAAAUUUGACAAAUUUGCCCUUAAUCUUUUCAUCCAAAAAAGAAGUAGAACCUAUGAUUUAAUUAGGUAAAAAUGUUAGGUAUGAAAAUGACAAUAUUUAUUUUUAAAUCAAAUUAAUAUAAAAGAUGAAAUAUAUUAUAUGCGGAGUGGAGAAGAUGUAAAAAUCAUUCAAAAUGGAGAAAAAAGAAAUAGAAAAUCAUUAGAUAGAGAAUAUUAGAUUGUUUAAUUAGAUAAGAAUUUUGAACAUAAUUAACAAACAAUGGUAGAUUUGAUAGAUAAGAUAAGGUAAUUGAAGUAAUUCUAUUGAUUCUUAUCAGAAUUAAGUAUUCAGUUAGGAUUUUUGUGCUGAAAAAAAUACACACAAUUUCAGCACUACUUAACAAGUUCAGCAAAUAGAUUUUCAUUUAUCAAACAUUCAAAACAUCUAAAUGUCUAAAAAAAUUUAGAUUCAACACUUUUUUAUAUUAUUAAACAGACCCUAAGAGAAUAAAAUAACUUGCUUGCUGUUAGCGAUGGCAACGGGGCGGGGUUGGGGCGGGGGACCCCUCCCCCGUCCCCCGCCCCGUUGCCUAUUAGUUCCCCCUGUCCCCCGCCCCCCCCCCCGCUUCCCCCGCGGGGUUAAUAAAAUUUUAUUAUAAUUAAAUUUUAAUAAAUAAUCAAUUACUAAAAUAUCAACACAUCACCAAAUUAUUAUUCAUUGUAAUUUUACAAUUAAAACUCAUAAAAACAAUCAAACAAAAGUUAUUUGAAUACAAUCCAAUAUGAUGAAAUAAAUAUAACUAAAAUAGUUAAGUUUUCGCUUUUAGUACAAAUGCAAUCACUAAUUCAUUAUUGUGUUUGUGCUUUUCUUUUGAGAAAAAAGUGUUAUUCUAUUAAGUGUAAUUAGAAAUUUAGUAUAAAUGUAUUAGUAAAUUUAGUAUAACUAAUUAAUAAAUUUUAUUAGUAGACAUGUAUAAUUAUUCAUAUAAUUGAUAAUAUCAAUUAUAUUACAUAAACUACUAUACAUUAUAUAAUACAUCUAACUAAUAAUAUCAUUAUCAUAAGUUUAUAACUAAUUAACUUACAUAUUAUAUAUAAUUAUAUAUAUAUUUUUUUUAGGGUGGCGCGGCGGGGGAUGGGGCGGGGGUAUACUCCCCCGUCCCCCGCCCCGUUUCUAAGCGGGGGGAAAAAUUCCCCCCCCCGCCCCAACCCCCGCCCCGAGAGCCCCCCGUGGGCACCCGCCCCCAUUGCCAUCCCUACUUGCCGUUUUUAAAAAAGGAUUCAUUAUUUUUUCUUUGAGCAUUGGUAUCUCCACCCUCAAUGACACUAAUCUGGAUUCAAUAUGAGGAGUGUCCGUAGAGGCUGACUCUUACUCGAGAGUAAAGACUUGACCCAGAGCUUUUCAAGGCGUCAUCAUAUGUAGGAGUCAAACUUAUGAACUCUGUGCAUAGAUAAUUUAGCUCCAGUCUGUGGAAUGUCUUGAUGUUAGGUGAGUUGUAAUAUUUUGGUAUCAUCUAAUGAAAUUUUUAAAAGAUUGAGAAAUAAUAUAGAGCAAAACACCAAUUUAUUCCCUAAAUUAUUUUGCUAAAAUCAAAAUACUCCGUAAAUUUAUUUUGAGUCAGUUUAGUCCCCCAACUAUUUUUACAAAGCUGAAAUAGUCCUUAAACUUUAUUAUGAGCCAAUUUAGUCUCUCAACUAUUUUGUUUAAGUGAAAUAGUACCCCACCUUUAUUUAUUUGGCCAGUUUGGUCCUUGUUUGACUCAUCCACCCAAUUUAUCAACCUUGUGCACUAACAAUCAGGGGCAAAAUAAGAAAUUUAGUCAAUGCCCUUACUAAAAUGAUAGAAGAAUUAGAUAUCUGGCAAAAUUAAAAACAAAAUUGAAUCAUAUAGAGAACAAAAAAAUAUAGUGUUUCUUAUGGAGGAAAAAAAUGGAGCUGAUGCCUAAAAUCUCACAUGGAUCCAACUCAGUCCAUUGAAUGGAGAAAAGGGAAAAUAACACAACAAGAAUAUGUUAAAAGUUGGAAAAUGUGCUAUAAUUAUGAUUACUCCUUUAAGAAAUAAAGCUGAAAGAAGCUCAAUUUCUUUUUGUUUUCCAUAUUAUUCAAUUUCGUUGUCGAUUUUUCGAUAGAUGUAUGUUUUUUUUUUUGUUUUAAUAAGGGCUAUGAUUGGAUUUCCUAUUAUGCCAUUGGCUGUCGAUGCUACACUUGAUAAAUUAGAUGGAUCAUCCAAAUAAAGACAAAAUUGGCUAUGUAAACAUUAGUGAGGGACUAUUUCAGCUUAAGAAAAAUAGUUGAGGGACUAAAUUGGCUUAUAAUAAAAUUAGGGACUAUUUCAGCUUUGUAAAAAUAGUUGAGAGACUAAAUUGACUCAUAAAAUGUUUAGGGACUAUUUUGACAUUAAGGAAAUAGUUUUGGGACUAUAAACAUUAGGUCACAAUGUUGAAAUAUCAAAACCCAUGUUUUGGACCAAAACUCAUAGAACUUCUUCACGUCGCUAACGAAAUUUGAUUAUGAAGUAAUGCUAAUUUUAUUUAUUAUUUGUUUCCUUGCUGGUCUUCUGUCUUUUUGGUUAUUCCAAAAUUGUUGAAUAUUUAAACGAAUUCUAGAAAGGGCACUGAGAGUCAAAGUCUUAUUCAAACAGCCAGCUAUCUCAAAGUACAUAUUUUUUUAUUAUCAGGUUCAAUAUGUAUCUAUUGCAAUUUUUGAAUGACCAGCCAUGACUAAGAGAAUAAAAUAAUUCACUUGCUGUUUUUAGAUAUGAAUUCAUGACUGUCAGUAGUCUAUAAAUACACUUAUUGCUCACCACUCUUUGCACCGCAAAAUCUCUUCAAGAUCCAACAAACCCUCCUGUUCUUGGUCUUUGUCCAUUUGUGAAAAAACAAAUUAAAGCGUCAUGGCCCCUAUCACUUGUAGUGCUGAGAUGACCUCCCCAAUCCCUCCUGCAAGGUUGUUCAAGGCCGCCAUCCUUGAUGACCACCCUUAAUGCCACAGGCUAUUAAGAGUGUGGAAAUCCUUGAAGGAGAUGGUGGCGUUUGAACCAUUGAGUUGAGCACAUUUGGUGAAGGUUAGAUGUUAUAUUAAAUGUAGAACCCCAAAUUUAAGGAUCUAAUAAUAAUCAAUGCGUGCAGGGUUACAGAAUUGGAGGGAUAAAACAAAUACUCAAAAUAUACGUGGAAGAAAAGAAAAAUAAUAAAUUCAACUCACAAUAUUAUUGAAAUUUCAAACAAUGAAGAAAAUCAUACCACAAUGAAUUCAACUGGUUCUAAUAAUAAUCAAAGCAUACAAGGUUACAGAAUUAAAAGGAUAAAACAAACACUCAAAAUAUAUGUGGGAGAGAAGAAAAUAAUAAAUUCAACACACAAUAUUAUUGAAAUCUCAAACAAUGAAAAAAGUCACACCAUAAUAGAAAACCUUGCUAAUGCUUCUAGAUUCUUUCUCUUGAGAAACCAACCUAAAUAAUGUUCUAUUUAUAAUCUACCAAACUUGUUAGGAAAGAAACCACUUGCAUAAGAAAUUACCAAAUAAUACAGAAAUUCCUAAAUCACACAACUACUAAAAACAUAACUCAAAUAAAACUAAAAAAUAAAUAAAUAUUACUAGGCUUAGUUUAAUUUGUCAACAUUGCCUCCUUUAAACCAUACUAUCCAUUGAGAUAGGUUCAACACCAUCUCGAGCAAUAAUUUCUAUGCAAAUCUAUGUUGUAGUACACUUGACAUGAAACUCUAACUUGUUACCAGUUAUUAAUUUCAUUUUUACACGUAACAGUGGACACACUAUGUAUUGUGUAAACAACUUCUCAGCAAUUUCUUCUUGAUCAAAGAACUCACUUAUACAAACCCAUUCAUCACCAGAAUCACCAUAUUUACCACCAAUGUAAGUGCCUAAAAAUACAAAAUCAUAGAUUUCUUUCUCGCUAAAAUUAUCAUCACCAAAUAAUUCAAAAUAACCACUACUACAAUCAUCCAAAAUUUUCAUACUGUCAGUCAACUCUUUUGGAGUAAAAUAUUUUUCAACUCCGAUGACAUCCAUAUCUAUUAAAUCAAACAUUCUCCCAUCACUUUGAAGAGAGUCCGAACCAACGAAUUUUUCAACAACAAUUUCAUGUUCUCUUCUCUUAUCAAAUCAAAAUUUUUUUCUUCUUUUGUCAAAUUACCAUAUUAUUUUUUUCAACAAAUUCAUUACUUCUAAUUUCUCCAAACAAGGUACGCAAAUCAAAACUAUCAAUUGAUUCAAAAUUUUCGAUAUCACCCAUAUUAUCAACAAAUCUAUCAUUUUUAAAAUCCACAAACCAAUACCAAUAAAUAGACUUCGGUUUGAAAGCAUAAUUUCUCCCAAUCGUGUGCAAAACAUAGUAAAUAUCCUUCCAAAAUCUCUAAAGUAUUUUAAUUAGUACGACCAAUAAAGGUUUUAUAAACACUUUUUGCCAUUAUUUUACGCAUCACUUGAAAGAAUAAUUGUGCCUUUUUCUUAAAAACAUGUUUUGACAACUUACUUGCAUCAACCCAACAAAGAAUAUCAUCCAAAUUACAUUGUUUAACAUAUUUUUCCACUAUUAAAAUCCAACCAAAAUAUGUAUGUCCAUUUGUGCUUAUAGGAGUCAAUAUGAAAAAUUUUUCACCGUGAAUCAGAUCUUUAUAAUAUUCCAUUAUUUAACAAUUUGUAUACCUGGAUAAAUUUUUUUCCUCCAUCCUGUCAUGUUUUCUUGGCCUCCCUGGUUGACUAACCAAAUUAUUGUUGUAUGUAUACCCAUGCUCGUCAAACCUCAUUUGUGUACACUCGUAAGGAGUGGUUCUGAGCUUCUUGUGAAUGCUCAGUACCAAGAAGUAGAAGAGAGAAUGCAUAAGAGAGAAUUAACUUGGCUAUAGAAAUAGGAAACAAUUGAGGGAUUUUUUAAGAAAUUAAUUCUCCAGCUACCACUUUUGGAAAUUUUCUAUCAACAACUAGUUACCAAAACACUAGCACAUAAUAAGAAAUCAGGAUAAUUUCAGAAACCUCCCUUGAGGCUUUUAAUAACCUCAAGAAGCUCCCCUCAAUAUUUUAAAAUUACACGUACCUUCCCUAUUGGUGCAAAAGUACUCUACUACCCCUAAUAGGAUACUCAAAAGACUUUUUUUUAUGGGAAAAAUGAAGCUCAGAAAUCCAAGCAAAAUCAAAAAAAUCAAUUGAUUUUCUCUUUUAGCCUUUUACACUUUUGCCUUCUACCUUUGCUCACUUUCCCAUCCCAAUCUUCCUACACCCGCUUUCCCAAUCCCCUUUCCCCAACUUUUCUCCUCUACUUCAAGACCAAUUUUUGUCUAUCUAUCCUGGCUUGUGCUUUGUUCCAUUCCCUUCCCUUCUCCUUCUUUGAUUUCGCCUACAUCUCCCUUUCUCUUUGCAAAAGUGACUAGGCUCAUGUCUCUCUUUUUCCCCCCUAUUCUAAGUGUAGUGGGUUUGAUUAUUUUGCAUCUAUUUUAUUUGAUUUGGGUUGAUUAUGGGUGAUAGAACUUGGCGAUGUCAAAUAUCAAAAGUUUGAUAGAUGGAUAUUGGGCUUUAGACAAUGAUUUGCUGAAAAAAAUGGCUGCAAUGAGACAAAGAGGCAAGGGGAUUUGAGUGUGGGGUUGAUUGUUGAUAAAUUGUUGUUUUGGACAAAAUUUGAGGUUGAGUUUUAUUAAAUUUGAUAGCAAGUGGCGAGUUUUGUUCAGGUUGCGGGAAAUAAAUUAGAUUGUGGUUUCUUGGGCACCCACAGUUGUUGGAAUUGGUUUUGAUUCAAAUUAGGGUGGUUACUUGAUUUUCCUAAUAGUGUUGCUUAAAAGCACACGAUCAUCAAAAUUCCUUAUUUUUAUCUUUUGUUUUUUCUUGUAGAAAAGAUUUCACGACUUUCGUGAUAGUCUAAUUUGGAAGAAGGCAAUCAAGGGAUGCAAUCAACAUUUAGCAAAAGCUCUUGUUCUUUCCUUUGUAAUUUUUAGGGUAAAAAGGGUAGUUUAGGGUAUUUGAAGGAAAUGAUAGUCUAUUGGGUCUAUUUUCAAGCAUAAAUAGUGAACGUAAGGGAGGUUGGUGUAAUUUCUGAAACCUAAGGGAAAUUGUCUGAAAUUGUUCGAGACCUCAGAGGAGGUUUUCGAAAUUAUCCCUAAGAAAUCAAAUGCGAAACUUGAUUAGUACACGCACACACGACACCGCACCACGCCGCGCGUGUGUUGAGGAUUGGUGUCCGUAACCAACGACAAGCAGGUUUUCAAUUUUUUUUUCCUUUCCUGGAUUCUCCAGAGAUGGUGUCAGCUUCUAUUAUUGAUGAGCAGGAGGAAAUCCACAAUAUACAGUACACAUCACCCAUAUUCUUUUUAAUUGAACAAUGUAUGAAAUUAUGGUGAUUCGAAAUUAAAUUAUAUGUUUAUUGGGCACUGAAUCCAAAAUAAGAGUUGGAAAUGUAUUGUGACAACAAUUGUUAACAUAGGCCACAAAUGAUCAAAACAAAUAUUUAAGGUUUAAUAUGACAUUAUGGGUUCAGAAUAUAGUUACUUGUUAUGAAACAACUAAAAGUAUGGAUAUCCAUUUGUAUUUUCAAGAGGAUCAAUUCAUAAUUCAUUGCUCCCAAGAGGAUUAAUUCAUAAUACAUUGCUACAUUAUGUAAAGGAAUUGCAUUGGAUGAACGGUUUCAAUCCAUAAAAGCUAUUUAUGUAUUGGAUGAACCGUUUCAUAUGGCUAUUCAUGUUCUUGUAGUAAUGAGUGUUUAAUAGAAUUGAUGUACCUUUAAUUUUGUAGUACCUAUAUAUACAGGUACUUUGGCACCUCUUGGGUAUACUUUUUGAUUAGUUGGAAUAAUAAGAAAAUUAUUCUUCAUUUCUGUACUUCUUUCUCUAAUAUUUCAAUUCCUAUUAUAGUAGUUCAUUUUUUUUAGUUUUACAACACGUUAUUAGCAUGAGUCUCUACUUUUGAACAAAAAGGUGAAAACGGAGCCUCUACCUUAAAAAAAAGUGAAACACGAGAUUCUGCCAAAAUUUUGCCCGUAUUUUUCCGGCAACUUCUGUCCACUUAUUGAGAAAUGGAUGCCAAAUAUUUGGGAUUAAAUAAUGGUGAUGAUGAUAUUUGUCUCAUUGAUAGUGCUACUACGCACACUAUAUUGAAAAAUAAAAAAAAAAUUUCUUGUAUGAAAAUGGGAGAGACAAAUGUUAAUACCAUAACUGGUAGUGCAAAAUUGAUUGAACGCUCCGGAAUAGCCUCUCUAUUUCUUCAUGAAGGGACUAAAAUUGUCGUAAAUAAUGCACUACUGUCUCCCAAGUCUCGGAGAAAUUUAUUGAGUUUUAAAGAUAUCUGCGAAAAUGAAUACUAUAUAGGGAUAAUGACUGAGACAAAUGGAGAAUUUUUAUUAAUCACAAGUAUCAUUUCUGGGCAGAAAUGCGUAGUAGAAAAAUUACCUUCUUUUUCUUCUAGCUUAUAUUAUGCACAAAUUAGUGCAAUUGAAAUUUAUCACCUAGUAGACCAGAAGUCUACUCAUCCCAAUAAUUUUAUGAUUUGGCAUGAUCGUCUCGAAAAUACUGAAUCUAUAAUGAUGAGACGAAUAAUCAAGAAUUUACAUGGUCACUCAUUGAAAAAUUAAAAGAUAUUAAAAGCAAAUGAAUUCUCCUGUGUUGCUUGUUCCCACGGAAAAUUAAUUAUUAGACCAUCACCAGUUAAAGUUGGGACUGAAUUCCCUACAUUUCUAGAACGAAUUCAUAGUGAUAUAUGUGGACUCGUAGAUCCACCAUGUGGACCAUUUCGAUAUUUUAUGGUGCUAAUUGAUGCAUCAACUAGAUGGUCACAUGUAUUUUUAUUAUCUACUCGCAACUUGAUAUUUGCGAGAUUGCUUGCUCAAAUAAUUAAAUUGCGAGCACAAUUUUCAGACUAUCUAAUAAAGAAAAUUCAUUUAGAUAAUGCUGGUAAAUAUUCGUCACAUGCUUUUGACAAUUAUUGCAUAUCUAUUGGAAUAACUAUUGAACAUCUUGUAACUUAUGUUCACACACAAAAUGGUCUAGCCGAAUCAUUUAUUAAAUGGUUACAAUUAAUUGCUAGACCAUUGUUGAUGAGGUCUAAACUUCCUUCAUCUGCUUGGGAAUAUGCUAUAUUAUAUACAGCAAUACUUGUGAGAAUUAGACCGACAAGUUAUCAUACUUAUUUUCCUCUAUAAUUAACUUUUGGUUAUAAGUCAAAUAUUUCUCAUUUACGAAUAUUUGGUUGUUCGGUUUAUGUUCGAAUUGCACGGCCCCAAUGUCGUAAAUUGGGUCCACAAAGAAGAUUGGGGAUAUAUGUCGGAUAUAAAAUCACCUUUAAUUAUUAAGUAUAUGGAACCAUUGACAGGUGAUUUAUUUACUGCAAGAUUUGCAGAUUGUCAUUCUAAUGAAUCACAUUUUUCGACAUUAGGGGGAGAUAAAAAUCAAUCGAAAAAGAAAAUCACUUGAAAAAUAUCAUUCAAUUUUCUCGAUUCUCGUACCAAAGAAUGUAAACUAGAAGUUCAAAGGAUUAUACAUUUGCAAAAAAUUACAAAUCAACUACUGGACGUAUUUAAUGACUCCAGAAGAGUUAUUAAAUCACAUAUUUUUAUUGAAAAUACUCCGAUUAAAAUUAAUGUCCUUGAAGGACAAAUUACAAGUGUUAAUGAGUGUAAAGUGCGCCUGAAGCGUGGGAGACCUCUUGGUUCUAAAGAUAAAAAUUCUCGAAAGAAAAGAGAAAUUGAUGAAUCAACAAUUAGUGACAAAAUUCAACCUCCUGAAGAAGUCGCUCCUAAAGAGCCAAUUCUUGAAGAUAAUGAAAUUAUAGAAAAUUCAAUAAAUUUUGUCGCUUCAGGAAAAAGUUGGAACAAAAAAAAAUUAUUAAUAGUAUUUUUGCAUAUAAUGUAGCACUUGUUAUUAUGGUAGGUAAUGAAGAUCGUGAGCAUAGAUCGGUUGAUGAAUGUCGACGUAGAAAUGAUUGGCCAAAAUGGAAAGAUGCGAUUCAAUCUGAAUUGGACUUACUAGCUACAAGAAAAGUUUUUGGGCCUGUAGUCCAAACACCUGAAGGUGUAAAGUCAGUAGGAUAUAAAUGGGCAUUUGUGAGAAAAAGAAAUGAGAAAAAUGAAAUCGUGAGGUAUAAAGCAAGACUUGCAACCCAAGGAUUUUCACAAAGGCCUGGAUUUGAUUAUGAUUACACGUAUUCACCUGUAGUGGAUGCUAUCACAUUUAGAUAUCUUGUGAGUUUUGCAGGACAUGAAAAAUCAGAUAUGCAUCUAAUGGACGUCGUUACUGUAUAUUUAUAUGAAAAUUUUGAAAAUGAUAUUUAAACGAGAAUCCCUGAAGGAUUCAACAUGCCUGAAGCAUGCAAAUCAAAUUUUAAAGAUAUUUAUACUAUUAAAUUACAAAGGUAUUUGUAUGGGUUCAAACAAUCUGGACGUAUGUGGUACCGCCUCAAUGAAUGUUUAACUAAAGAAGGCUAUACCAAUAAUCUAAUACAUCCAUGUGUCUUUAUCAAGAAAAAUGGACUAAUUUUAUGAUAAUUGUUGUCUAUGUUGAUAAUCUUAAUCUGAUUGGAACUCUUGAAGAGAUUCAAAAUAGUGUUGAAUAUUUGAAGAAGAAGUUUGAAAUCAAAGAUUUUGGAAAAACAAAAUUCUACAUUGAUUUACAAAUUGAGUGAUAGGUUGCAAUUUUAUCAUUUAUUUUAUUAUUAAUUUUCCCUAUUACUUAACCCAAUGUGAAUUAAUUAUUAGAUUCUACUCACUUUUAGUAUUUUACAUAUAUUUCAGGGAGUAGAACGAAAAUACCAUAAUAAGUGCCGAUUUGACAGUUAUCAGGAAAGAGUUCAAGUAGCAGGCAUCCAGGGCAUUUUUGGAACAAGGAGAUACAAGUCCUUUUUGGUAAUUCGCAGAGCGCAGCAUUAAAAGGAGGAACGAAGGGCUGAAGUAGGGAGUCUUCUUCCCCCUGGGAGGAACCGCCGCACAGCAGAGGGCUGUCUGGUCCUCUUAGUUUUUCCGUUUCUUUAGUUUUAGCUUCGGAUUUUGACUUUUCUUCUCGUAGGAAUUUUGGGUAGCCUUGAGCUUAGCAACUUUUGUUGACCCUUUUUUGGCCUUUUAGCUAGUUUGUUCUUACGCAUGGAAGAUGGCUGAAUAGCUGAGGCUUGUUCUUUGUUUUUCUUUGACUUUUCCUUUUGGUUUGCUUCCUGCGGACGCCCAGACCGAAGGAAAACUAUGAAGUCCCUUUUGUAGCUUUCUCUCUUUAUUAAAUAGACGAAUUGAAUUCCCUCAACUUGCGAAUUGAUGGCCGCAGCUUUUGCUUCAAUUUCUUGUGGGUUUAGUUCAUUAAUUAUGAACUAAUUCUACAAUUCUAGUCAAGGGGACAACUGACGAUUUGGUUCGACAAUUACUGUGAGAUCGAAUCUGUUUUAAUUAUUUUCUUCAUUUAUUGGUAUUUAUAUGUUCCUUGAUUUUAAUUGCUAUGGCCUUGUGUAUGAUUGAUUAGUGCGCAAUAAUUAAUUAUUCAUAUAGGCUAUUUUGCUAAAUAGAGGUAAUUGAAUCCGUAAUUGUUCGUUAUCUCUAUCUUAGUAGCAACUGGCGUAAUUGGGUUUAUGUCAGGGGAGCAUAUGAUCUAGCUUAAACAAACCCUCGUAGCGUGUUUGUUGGUUAGGAUUGGGCCUUUCUAAUUAUUAAUGCAAUCUAGAAAUUAAAUCUUACGGUCGUACCUAGGGUUGUUUUUGGGUUAGAGAAAUAGCUAACGGUCGUACCUUAGCUAUCGAUAAAUUAAGGAAGGGUUGGUUGUUUAUCGCGUGCAUGACAACUAUAACCAAUCUAUUAAUAAAUGUUGGGAUUAUUUUUGCAUCAAUGAUCAGUGCAUGAACCAUUUCUGAAGUAUACCCUUGGCUAGAGUUUCUCUUAGUUAUUUCUUUUAAUUAAUUAUUUUCUGCAGUUAAUUUAUUUAGUUAGCAUUUAAUCCAAAACCCCCCAUACUUUGGACUCUAAAAGAAACAAUUACUCCCAGUCCCUGUGGAUUCGACCCUGCUCACCGCUAUCUACAGAAAUCACUUUUAGUUUGAGCAGGUAUUUAUUAUUGCACAGGCUUCGACGACCUGUCAAUCUUUGGCGCCGUUGCCGGGGACUGGUGCCAGAUUAAAUUGUUUCUUUUUGAGUUUAUCUUGUUUUCAUUUUUUUAAUUUAUUUUUCUCUUAUUUUUUAUUAUUAUUAUUAUUUUUUUUAUGGCUGCUAACAUUCCAUAUUUUGAUGAUAGACUGGAUUUUGUUCCUGAAUGGGGUUAUGAGACUCAUGUUUUUCCUAACGAUCAAUGGGCUGUUGCAAAUUGUGGAACUUAUUUUGACUCAAGUUAUUCAACUGACACAUGCCCCGUAUUUCAAGAUAAUUUAAGUUCUCCACUUGAUACUUUUGGAGAUUUUUCACCCCAAUAUCAAACGUGGUAUGACCCUUAUUCAAACGGGUAUGAUCAAGGAUGGUGGGAUAAUUCCAAUUUUGAUUAUGCGACCGGGCCAAUGGAUUUUCAACAGCAAGAGUCUCAGCAAUCAUCCUCCGUGUCAGGUAUGUCUCUUGAAGAAAUGAUAGGUUUACUAAUUGCUAAUUCAAAUCGAUUUCAUCAGGAGACACAAGCGAGCCUAAAUCGAUUUCAUCAGAGGACACAAGCGAGCUGUCGCGACCUGGCGGAUCAACUGCGUCAAUUGACAGCCAGGAUGCAGCGAUUAGAGGCUCACCUUGAAGAAUUGCCCUCGCAAACCAAUAUCAAUCUUGAGGAAGAUGAGAGUGCAAUUGUCCGGGCAAAUGACAUGGAACUGCAAGAGUUUCAAGAAAACGGAUUUAAAGAUGCAGUUGAAAAGGAAGCUGAAGUGCAAGAAAUGAGACUCCAAGAUCAACUCGUUCAAGUGAAUGAAUCCAGUGAACAAUCUCCAAAUGCGGUGACAUCUUCUCCACUCCUUAAUCAAUAUUUUCCUGGCUCCUAUUCUUCAACUCCUGUUACUGAAAUUGAUUUUAUUAUACCAGAAAAUUUAAAAUUUCAUGACAGGAAUAAGUUAAGAGUGGAGAUGGCAAAAUAUCUUGAACCAAUGAAUGCGUGUGAUGGAGGAGUGAGUGGAGAAUGCAGAUCAUUGUUGACUUGUUUAGCGCCAUUUACUAGUCCAUGGAAGCCCGUAACUCGUGUGCCCAAGAAUUACUCCAUCUAUGAGGGUUACCAGGAUCACGUUGAAGAUGAAGCAUUGAAGCGAGCCACAAGAUUUUAUCCUCCAUGAGCAAAACAUGAUAAUGUCUAGCCAAAGACAUUAAAGAAAGGCGCUCAUUGGGAGGCAACCCAAUUUCUUUUAGUUGUUUGUUUGAUUUUAUUUGUUAGUUUAAAUCUGUCUUCCUUGAAUUUGACUGAUUUUGGGUGUUAAUUUUCGUUUUUACUGAUUUGUAGGUGACCUUCAGUCAUGACGCGCCCGCGUGGUGACGUGCAGGAAGCUCACGAUCAGAAACUUCUGGGAGCUCUCUUACCCUCAUGACGUGCCCGCGUCAAGUCACCUGGAGAGUUCCAGAUUCCGUGCCUUCAUGGUGUGCCCACGUCACGUUCACGGGAGAGAUAAGUAUUUAAAAAAAAAAUUCAAAAACGAUUGUUGAUUGUUGGUUAUCUCUGCUUUUGAAUCUCGAAAAUAAAAUUUGCUAAUGAAAAUAAAUUUCAAAAAAAUAAAAAAAAAUUUUUUAAAAAAAAAAAUUUAAAUUUUUGUUUCACGGUAGCUUAGAUUUUCAAAUCCUAAAAAAAAAAAAAAACACAGAAACUCUUUCUUAUCAACGUAGCUUUAGUGUCAAAUAUUUUAAAAAAAAAAAAGUCUCAAAUGAAAAAAAAAAAGGGCUUUUCUUUUUCUUUCUUUUCUUUCUUUCUUCUUCUUUCUCUUUUCUGUCUUCCUUCUCCCCUGUUUCUUCUUCCUCUCUGUUGACCGAAGCCCUCUGUCCGCCGCCGCUGCUGAAGCGCCCUCAGCCGUCGCGCAGCAGCUCCUCACUCGAAGACGCCGCGGCCACAGCACCUCUGCACGCGGCCUCCACCUCUCCAUCGCGCGCCGUCAAGAGCUCCGCCGACCCACGACGCGCGAGGCACCAGCUCGCGCGCCUCCCCCACCUAGCAACUGCUGGCCGACCAGCCCCACCACCAGCCCGCGCCGCACCUGCUGGCCGACCUAUCAACUCCUAAGCUCGCGAACCUCCUCAGCUCAGCUCCACCAGCGAGCUGCUCCUCGCUCACUCCAUCGCGUGAAGACCAGGCGAGCACGGCCCGCAGCCUCUCACCGCCACUGCGCACCUCUGACCAGCUCGCAGCACCUCUCUCUGCCCUCCGUGCGCUGCCCGCGCGUGGCACCAGCGCCUCCACAGCUCGUCGACGAAGCCCAAGCUGACAGACCACGCCGCUCGUCCACUUCCACCACUCGCGACGCACAGAUCAGCGCUGCCGUUGGUUGCCCAACCUCCCUGGUGCCAGGUUUUUCUUACUAAUUUUGUGGUCUACGAUUCCAAUUUCUUGAUGAUGGGAUUUUUGAUGAUUACGAUUUCAUUGAGUAAAUUUGAUUGGCUUGCAUCUGUGUUACUGGAGCCCGUGGGUUGGGUUAUGACCUGCAACUGAUUUGCCUAGUCUAAUAUAAUUGUCAUUUGUUUGGGCUCUUGAAGUACUGUCUAGUGUUGUUUGUAUUUCUUAGUGAAUUGAGUUUGCCGUUUGAUUUCAUUCUUCCCUGUGCGUACACCAGUGGUACUGGUUGUGGUAGUUGCCUAACAUUUAUUCAUUCUCAUUGGUGUGGCUGUUGGGAUUGAAAGCUCAGAACUUGUGACUAAGUUGUUAUUGCCUAAAUGCUGACCUGCUAUUACUAGACUUGCUGAUUUCUUGGGAGCAUUUGUUGGGAUUUUGGGUGGAUAUUAGCAAGUGGUAUAUUGCUUGAUUUUUUUUACCUGUGCCUUGCUUGGAGUUUCUAGUGCAUGUUUGGGGCUGCCUUGGGAGUUAUUUGCCACAAUUGAUUGCCGUUUUGGUUUCUUCUGUUUCUGGUACUGCUUGUGCUGAUGGAUUUAUCAGUGUUUUGGGCGGCUUAUUUGAAUUGCUUCUUCCCUGUGUGUUUGGUCAGCUGUUUGCUUGAAAACCCAAACCCUUGUGCUUAUAUUUGCUCCCAGUUGAGUUAUGUGUUGGACUUUCCAAUUGGUGACAACUUUUGGGCUUUAGGGGUGAGUUCAUUUUGUCAUUAUUUGCUACCUUGUUGGGGUCAUUUUUGGUUUCACCUGAGUCUAUUGUCCUGCCUUCUGUUUUGAGUCCAUUGGAGUGACGUGAGUUGAGUAAUUUCUGCUUUUGUUUGUUGAUUUGGAAGGCUACUGUGCCACUUUCAUUGCUUAUUGCUUAGUGAUUAUGUCUAAUUAACAAUGUGCAUAGCAUGGCGCAGAAUUUGGCAGCAUUCAUGUAGCAUGCCGGUCUUAUACCUCAAUUGGGUACCUCUAUUUGGUUGGCUGCGUUCUUAUUGUCCAAUAUCUAUGCUGUUUUCAAUGGAAUUGCUGAUCUUGGGUUAAGACUUUAGCUGGCCAACUGGAGCCAUUUGUUGAGAUUUUGGGUGAACUGCAAUACUGCACUCGUUUGUUCAAUUGGGAGGUUUCUUUUGGUAUUCUGGUUGAGUUAUUUCUAAAGUUGCCUGAUGAAUUGAGAGACAUAGAUGGCUAUUGCUCUGCCCUGAUAUUGCUUGGUUGCCAGUGCGCAUUCUCUAUGCCAAGUGGCAAGGAUGUCUCAGAACUCGGCUUCCCUCCACUGUUCCCUCCUAUCCCUUAGCUGUUCAGCAGGGAAGUCUCGUUAUCCUCUUCGCUUUAAUUAUUUUAUUACCUCCAUUGAGGACAAUGUAGGAUUUAGGUGUGGGGGGAGCAGUUAUGGUGCUAGUGUCUUUCGUUCAUUUUCUUUUUCUUCUUUUUAGUGAUUGGCUCGUAAGUGCAUGCCAAGGUUUGAUGUUGGAUUAUUGCCUCUAUUUCUACUUUUGCCAAGUUUUAAUAAUAAAAGGGUAUCAAGUUAAUGUGGUUGAAUCCAAAAACAUCUCUUUGGUGAAUAUCAAUAAUUGUUUUACUCUUAUAAUUUUUUGGUUAACUUUCCUAGGCAUAGGGAAUGAUUAUUGGCAUUUUUAGUGAAUUGGUCCGGUUAUUAACCUUAGUUCUCCAUGUUUGAAAAUGAGGCUAGCUGAUGCAAGUUUUCUUUUGGUUCUUGUGUUAUAUUGAGUUUUUGUGAUUUUUAGCUCUGAAUAAACUUGACUGUACUCCGCUAUUAGUUACUACUGAGUAACCGGGGAUCUGCACCUAAAAGUGUUGAUUCUCGCGUCAAAAGAUAGUAGUUCCUAUGAGUACGUGGUCACGUGGCGAUAGAAGCUGAGUAACCGGGCUCCUUCAUCUGGCCAAUGUUGGAAUUCGCGUCAAAAGGCUCUAAUGGCUAGCGACUAAGUCUUUUGUUACUAUUGAAAAAAAACGAGAAAGAAGAAGAAGAAAAAAAAAAGAAAAAAAAGAGAAAAGUAGAAAAAUGUGAAAGAAAAAGUGAAUGCUGUGUUAGUGUAUAAUAAAAGUCAGCUUGCCGAUUUAUGGAUUUAAUGUUGAGAUUUUGGUUAAUAGUUGGACCAUUUGCUGAUAACUGUUAUGCGUCAUUCCUUUUUCUUAGAUUGGUUAACAUGAAAUUAGAGGAAUUUAUGGUUUAGAAGCUAACCGGAGUGAUGUUUCUUGGACUAGACCAUUGAUGCUUGAUUAUUAUAUUUUCUUGGUAUCUUGGCAAUAUGGUAGAUGGAGUAAUAGCCAUUGGCAAGUGUUGGUGUUUAUUUGCUGUUCUCAUGCUUGAGGACAAGCAUGGUUUAGGUGUGGGGGGAAUUGAUAGGUUGCAAUUUUAUCAUUUAUUUUAUUAUUAAUUUUCCCUAUUACUUAACCCAAUGUGAAUUAAUUAUUAGAUUCUACUCACUUUUAGUAUUUUACAUAUAUUUCAGGGAGUAGAACGAAAAUACCAUAAUAAGUGUCCGAUUUGACAGUUAUCAGGAAAGAGUUCAAGUAGCAGGCAUCCAGGGCAUUUUUGGAACAAGGAGAUACAAGUCCUUUUUGGUAAUUCGCAGAGCAGCAGCAUUAAAAGGAGGAACGAAGGGCUGAAGUAGGGUCUUCUUCCGCCUGGGAGGAACCGCCGCACAGCAGAGGGCUGUCUGGUCCUCUUAGUUUUUCCGUUUCUUUAGUUUUAGCUUAGGAUUUUGACUUUUCUUCUCGUAGGAAUUUUGGGUAGCCUUUAGCUUAGCAACUUUUGUUGACCCUUUUUUGGCCUUUUAGCUAGUUUGUUCUUACGCAUGGAAGAUGGCUGAAUAGCUGAGGCUUGUUCUUUGUUUUUCUUUGACUUUUCCUUUUGGUUUGCUUCCUGCGGACGCCCAGACCGAAGGAAAACUAUGAAGUCCCUUUUGUAGCUUUCUCUCUUUAUUAAAUAGACGAAUUGAAUUCCUUCAACUUGCGAAUUGAUGGCCGCAGCUUUUGCUUCAAUUUCUUGUGGGUUUAGUUCAUUAAUUAUGAACUAAUUCUACAAUUCUAGUCAAGGGGACAACUGACGAUUUGGUUCGACAAUUACUGUGAGAUCGAAUCUGUUUUAAUUAUUUUCUUCAUUUAUUGGUAUUUAUAUGUUCCUUGAUUUUAAUUGCUAUGGCCUUGUGUAUGAUUGAUUAGUGCGCAAUAAUUAAUUAUUCAUAUAGGCUAUUUUUUGCUAAAUAGGGGUAAUUGAACCCGUAAUUGUUCGUUAUCUCUACCUCAGUAGCAACUGGCGUAAUUGGGUUUAUGUCAGGGGAGCAUAUGAUCUAGCUUAAACAAACCCUCGUAGCGUGUUUGUUGGUUAGGAUUGGGCCUUUCUAAUUAUUAAUGCAAUCUAGAAAUUAAAUCUUACGGUCGUACCUAGGGUUGUUUUUGGGUUAGAGAAAUAGCUAACGGUCGUACCUUAGCUAUCGAUAAAUUAAGGAAGGGUUGGUUGUUUAUCGCGUGCAGGACAACUAUAACCAAUCUAUUAAUAAAUGUUGGGAUUAUUUUUGCAUCAAUGAUCAGUGCAUGAACCAUUUCUGAAGUAUACCCUUGGCUAGAGUUUCUCUUAGUUAUUUCUUUUAAUUAAUUAUUUUCUGCAGUUAAUUUAUUUAGUUAGCAUUUAAUCCAAAACCCCCCAUACUUUGGACUCUAAAAGAAACAAUUACUCCCAGUCCCUGUGGAUUCGACCCUGCUCACCGCUAUCUACAGAAUUAAUUUUAGUUUGAGCAGGUUUUAUUAUUGUACAGGCUUCGACAACCUGUCAUUGAGCAUUUGAAAAGUGAAAUUUUUGUCCACCAAACUGCUUAUACCCGGAAGGUAUUAAAGUAGUUUUAUAUGGAUAAGGCAUAUACAUUAAGUACCCCAAUGGUCAGAUCAUUAGAUCCUAAUAAGGACCCUUUUAGACCGCGAGAGGAAGUUGAAGAGAUACUUGGUCCUAAAGUACCAUAUCUCAGUGCAAUUAGUGCACUAAUGUAUCUUGCUAAUUGUACAAGACCUGAUAUAUCAUUUGCAAUAAAUUUAUUAGCAAGAUUUAGUUCUCGCUCACAAGACGACAUUGGAAUAGUAUUAAACAUAUUUUUUGUUAUCUCCAAGGAUCAAUUGAUCUUGGCUUAUUUUAUUCAAAUAAAUCUAAACUUGAAUUGUUUGGUUAUGUUGAUGCUGGAUAUUUAUUUGGCCCACAUAAAGUAAGAUCUCAGACUGGUUAUCUAUUUACAUAUGGAGGUACAACCAUUUCUUGGCGAUCUACAAAGCAAUCAUUAGCUGCCAUUUCAUCGAAUCAUGCUGAAAUAAUAGCAAUUCAUGAAAUUAGUUGAGAAUGUGUUUGGUUAAAAUCAAUGACCCACUAUAUCCGGAAAAGUUGUGGGUUAUCCUCCGAAAAAGAAAAUCCUUCAACUAUAUUAUAUAAAGAUAAUGCAGCUUGUAUAACUCAAUUGAAAGGAUGAUAUAUUAAAAGAGAUAGAACGAAAUAUAUUUCACCAAAAUUCUUUUUUACUCAUGAUUUACAAAAGAAUGGUGAAAUUGAUGUGCAACAAAUCUGAUCAGAUAAUAAUUUGACAGAUUUAUUUACCAAUGCAUUGCCAACUGCAAUAUUUAAGAAAUUGGUGAAGAAUAUUGGAAUGCGACGACUAUAAGAUCUCAAAUGAUAUUUGCAUCCGGGGGAACAAUCAAUACACAAGAAUAGUGUACUCUUUUUCCUUCAUUAAGGUUUUUAUCCCGUUGGAUUUUUUCCUAGUAAGGUUUUAAUGAGACACAUUCUUUGUGUAAUGGACAUCCAAUGGGGAGUGUUAUGAAACAACUAAAAAUGUGGAUGCCCAUUUGUAUUCUCAAGAAGAUCAAUUCAUAAUUCAUUGCUUCCAAAAGGAUUAAUUCAUAAUUCAUUGCUACAUUAUAUAAAGGAAUUACAUUGGAUGAACGGUUUCAAUCCAUAAGAGCUAUUCAUGUAUUGGAUGAACCAUUUCAUAUGGUUAUUUAUGUUCUUGUAGUAAUGAGUGUUUAAUAGAAUUGAUGUACCUUUAAUUUUGUAGUACCUAUAUAUAGAGGUACCUUGGCACCUCUUGGAUGUACUUUUUGAUUAGUUGGAAUAAUAAAAAAAUCAUUCUCCAUUUCUGUACUUUUUUUUCUAAUAUUUUAAUUCCUAUUAUAGUAGUUCAUUUUUUUUUUAGUUUUACAACAUUACUCAAAGAAGAGGGUUAUUGGACUAUAUGUUUAUUGACCUCUACUAGGGAUGACAAUGGGGGCGGGUGACGGCAAUGGGGGCGGGUGACCGCGGGCACCCGUCCCGCGGGGGGCUAAUGGGGAGAGGGAUGGGGCCGGGGCGGGGGGUAGGGGAGUGUACCCCCGCCCCAUCCCCCGUCCCGCUACCCGCUUUAAAAAAAUAAAUAUAUAAAAUAUAUAUAGGUAUAUAAUUAUAUAUAUAAUAUAUAAUUUAAUUGGUUACAAACUUAUGAUAAUAAUAUUAUUAGUUAUAUGUAUUAUAUGAUGUCUAUUAGUAUAAAUAAUAUAAUUGAUAUUAUUAAUUAUACUAAUAAUUAUAUAUGUGUACUCAUACAAAUUAUUAAUUGGUUAUACUAAAUUUACUAAUACAUUUAUACUAAAUCCCUAAUUACACUUAAUACAAUAACAUUAUUUUCAUAAAAAAAACACAACCACAAUAAUGAAUUAGUGAUUGUAUUUGUACCAAAAGUGAAAAUUUGAUUACUUUAGUUAUAUUUUUUUCAUCAUGUUGGAUUGUAUUCAAAUAAUUUUUGUUUGAUUGUUUUUAUAAGUUUCAAUUGUAAAAUUGCAAUGAAUAAUAAUUUGAUGAUGUGUUGAUAUUUUAGUACUUGAUUAUUUGCUAAAAUUUAAUCAUAAUAAAAUUAUAUAACAAAUUUUUAUUAGCUCAGCGGGAGCACCCGCCGGAGAAGCGGGGCAGGGUGGGGACGGGGCGAGGGAAGCGGGGGAUGGGGGAGGGGUCCCCCGCCCCAACCCUCUUCCCCAUCUCCCGCCCCGUUGCCAUCCCUAACCUCUACUAACUUAUUUAAGGUCAUUUUAUAUCACUAUCCAAAGAAGAAUUAAGGUCAUUUUAUAUCACUAUCCAAAGAACAAUUCUUGGGCGUUAACAUUUUUCUUACAUGCCAAGACUAUUAAUGAAAGUUGACCCAAAUCUCUCUCUCUCUUUCUCUCAAUUCUUAGGACUGAUGCCAAUUCUUACCAUUUAGAAAGAAAAAUUAGAUUGUUUAUAUAUAUGAUGAGUUCCCUCUAAGUCAUGGUUAAGAAAAAUUCUUAGUUAGACGCAGUUUUAUGAAAUGUGAAUUUCCUUUUCUUUGUCUUUAUUCGUUAGUAUUAUUGGGGUUAUUGUAUUAUGAUUGCAAUGCACAGAUACAUGGAUUUUUGACAUUUUUUUCUCAUUUUUUCUUUUUAAUUGACUCUGACUAUGUCUCAAACUCGAGACAUCAAACCUGGAGAAGACUUUUGUCCAAAAUGCUUGUAAAAAUUCAGAAGAAUAAUGUUGGACCUUAUUAUUUAAUAAUGGUGCAAUUAUGAGAGUCAUUCCUGGUUUAAUUAUCAACAUCAUGUCAUUAUUAUUUUUUUGUUUCAUAGAAAAAUAAAGUAUUCUCCGACUCGACAUUAUCAUAUUAUUUUCAAUUGGCAGCUUUAAGUGAGAAAGGCCGGUGAAAAUUUUGGGCAUUACUAGUUUAUUUAGGCCUCACGCGCUCCGUGAAGGUGCCGACGUCAUCUUCGUUUUAAUGGAAAAAUUUGAGCGCGCUUUGAUCAUAAGGAAUUCACAAUCAUCGGGCCAACAAAGAAAGCACUAAAUGGUUAAAACAAACCAUGCAAAUUUGCUCAGCACUUAAACAAUAGACUCCUAAACCGACCAUUUUACUGUCUUGCCAAAAAAGGGCAUUAAAGUAAAAACAACCCAUGCCUAACACAACUAACAAACUUCAGCACCUUCACUUCACUGCCACGUCAUCAACAACAUCUGUAAAUUUCCAAGGAAGUCCACGCACUAAAGGUGCCAUGGGGGACCUCAGGUUAGUGUUCUUAACAUCAACUCCUGUCUUUAUAUUCUUAGGAAAUAUUGAAAUUAAACAUUAUAACUAAUCCUGAUUUCCUUAUGCUGUAUUUGUACACAAUUUGGCAACUUGAUAAAAAGUUUGUUCCAAUUUAUUCCAAUUUAAUUUGUCAGCUAGUCGAAUCUAAUUUGAAUAGUAUUUAACUUUGAAAUUUGAUAAAAAGUUUGUUCAAACUUGGUUUACUAAAUAAACAAGUUAAGUUUGAACAAAAUUUCAAACUUAUUAAAAUAAUUAAAUACGUUUGAAUACUAGGGUAUUCAAUUUAAUUAGACUCGUUUGCACCCAUAAUUAAAGCAUGCACUUUUUUAUAAAUUUAGGAAUCAACAUUAUCUAUUUGAUAGCUAGCUAAUGGCCCAAAAAGUUAAUUGCCUUAAAUUCUUUUAGCAGCCAUAAAGUAUAGUUGGAGGGAUUCCCUUGAAAUUGAUUAGAUUCUUCUAUGUGACUGUGACGUAUUACUAGUCCUACCCAAAAAAAAAUGGUAUUACUAGUCCUUUUUUCUUUUUGUGGCGUGCCACCGCCGUAGGGGGCGGGGAGGGCAGUCAGUGCGAGAAUUCUAGAUGGGGUAGAAGUAGCCAAAGUUCACCUUAUUCAAAGUAAACAACCGACAAUCUCAGUUGUCGACUUUCCUGUCGAUUGCGUAUAUAUUACUAUCUUUUACCAUGACUUUAGAGGAUACCUAAUUUUGCUUGCUAUUAAAUAAUAAUUCCUGGCACCACAUAAUUCUUUCAAGAACUACCAAAACCUUCUUGAAAUCCCUCUUUUUCCUUUUAGUUCAUUUCCAAGAAACAAAUUGAACCAUCAUGGCCCCUGUCACUUCCAGUUAUGAGGUCACCUCCUCAAUCCCUCCUGCAAGGUUGUUCAAGGCCACCAUCCUUGAAGAGAAGCAUCUUCACAAGAUCUUGCCACAGGGCGUUAAGAGUGUCGAAAUCCUUGAAGGAGAUGGUGGAGUUGGCACAAUUAAGUUGACCACAUUUGUUGAAGGUAAGAUAUCAAUACAAAGUGAUUAUUUUCACACAUUUGAAGUCCUCAAAAUGUUCUUUUUUUUUUUUAACAUUUUAUUUGUGGGGGUAAGUAUGUAUGUAAGCCCUAAUAACCUUUUUUUUUUUGUUGGGUUAAAUAUUUAGGUGGCGAGCUUAAGACUGCCAAACAGAGAGUUGAUGGAAUUGACAAAGAAAAAUUUACAUACAGUUAUACUGUACUUGAAGCUGAUGGAUUUAACGAUGUAAUCGAGAAAAUCUGUUGUGUCAUCAAAUUUGAACCCUCUGCUGAUGGAGGUUCAAUCUGCAAAACCACUAAUACAUACUACCCCAAAGGUGGUGCUCAGAUCAGUGAGGAACACCUCAAGGGAGGAAAAGAGAAGGGUUUGGGAAUGGUUAAGGCUGUUGAGGCUUACCUCCACGCAAAUCCUACUGCCUACAACUAAUUAAAAUGAAUGCUACUGAAGGACUCUUCGACAUAUUUUCUUCAAGAUUGAAGUAUAAACUGAGGGUGUCUGUUUCCUUUUUUGCUUGGUUUGCUUAAGCUGUUUGGUUAAGUUAUUCGCAGCAAGAGAAUAAAAUAAUUCACUUGCUGUUUUUAGAUAUGAAUUCAUGACUGUCAGUAGUCUAUAAAUACACUUAUUGCUCACCGCUCUUUGCACCGCAAAAUCUUUUCAAGAUCCAUCAAACCCUCCUGUUCUUGAUCUUUCUCCAUUUGUGAAAAAACAAAUUAAAGCAUCAUGGCCCCGAUCACUUGUAGUGCUGAGAUGACCUCCCCAAUGCCUCCUGCAAGGUUGUUCGAGGCCGCCAUCCUUGAUGACCACCUUCUUCCCAAGAUCAUGCCACAGGCUAUUAAGAGUGUGGAAAUCCUUGAAGGAGAUGGUGGAGUUUGAACCAUUAAUUUGAGCACAUUUGGUGAAGGUUAGAUGUUAUAUUAAAUGUAGAACCCCAAAUUUAAGGAUCGAAUAAUAAUCAACGCAUGUGGGGUUAUAGAAUUGAAGGGAUAAAACAAAUACUCAAAAUAUACGUGAAAGAAAAGAAAAUAAUAAAUUCAACUUACAAUAUUAUUAAAUUUUCAAACAAUGGAAAAAAUCAUACCACAAUAAAUUCAGCUGGUUCUAAUAAUAAUCAAAGCAUACAAGGUUACAGAAUUAAAAGGAUAAAACAAACGCUCAAAAUAUAUGUGGGAGAGAAGAAAAUAAUCAAUUCAACACACAAUAUUAUUGAAAUCUCAAACAAUGAAAAAAGUCACACCAUAAUAGAAAACCUUGCUUAUUCUUCUAGAUUCUUUCUCUUGAGAGACCAACCUAAAUAAUGUCCUAUUUAUAAUCUACCAAACUUGUUAAGAAAGAAACCACUUGCAUAAGAAAUUACGAAAUAAAUUAGAAAUUCCUAAAUCACACAACUACUAAAAACAUAACUCAAAUAAAACUAAAAAAUAAAUAAAUAUUUCUAGGCUUAGUUUAAUUUGUCAACAUUGCCUCCCUUAAACCAAAUUAUUCAUUGAGAUAGGUUCAACACCAUCUCGAGCAAUAAUUUCUAUGCAAAUCUAUGUUGUAGUACAUUUGACAUGAAACUCUAACUUGUUACCAGUUAUUAAUUUCAUUUUUACACGUAACAAUGGACGCACUAUAUAUUUUGUAAAAAAUUUCUCAGCAAUUUCUUCUUGAUCAAAGUACUCAUUUAUACAAACCCAUUCGUCACCAGAAUCACCAUAUUUACCACCAAUGUAAGUGCCUAAAAUUAAAAAAUCAUAGGUUGCUUUCUCGCUAAAGUUAUCAUCACCAAAUAAUUCAAAAUAACCACUACUACAAUUAUCCAAAAUUUUCAUACUGUCAGUCAACUCUUUUGGAGUAAAAUAUUUUUCAACUCCGAUGACAUCCAUAUCUAUCAAAUCAAACAUUCUCCCAUCACUUUGAAGAGAGUCCGAACCAACAAAUUUUUCAACAACAAUUUCAUGUUCUCUUCUUUUAUCAAAUCAAAAUUUUCUUCUUCUUUUGUCAAAUUACCAUAUUAUUUUUUUCAACAAAUUCAUUACUUCUAAUUUCUCCAAACAAGGUAUGCAAAUCAAAACUAUCAAUUGAUUCAAAAUUUUCGAUAUCACCCAUAUUAUGAACAAAUCUAUCAUUUUUAAAAUCCACAAACCAAUACCAACAACUAGACUUCAGUUUGAAAGCAUAAUUUCUCUCAAUCAUGUGCAAAACAUAGUAAAUAUCCUUCCAAAAUCUCUAAAGUAUUUUAGUAUGACCAAUAAAGGUUCUAUAAAUACUUUCUGCCAUUAUUUUACGCAUCACUUGAAAGAAUAAUUGUGCCUUUUUCUUAAAAACAUGUUUUGACAACUUACUUGCAUCAACCCAACAAAGAAUAUCAUCCAAAUUGCAUUGCUUGACAUAUUUUUCCACUGUUAAAAUCCAAUUAAAAUAUGUAUGUCUAUUUGUGCUUAUAGGAGUCAAUAUGAAAAAUUUUUCACCGUCAAUUAGAUCUUUAUAAUAUUCCAUUAUUUAACAAUUUCUAUACCUGAAUAAAUUUUUUUCCUCCAUCCUGUCAUGUUUUCUUGGCCUCCCUGGUUGACUAACCAAAUUAUUGUUGUAUGUAUACCCAUGCUCGUCAAACCUCAUUCGUGUACACUCGUAAGGAGUGGUUCUGAGCUUAUUGUGAAUGCUUAGUACCAAGAAGUAGAAGAGAGAAUGCAUAAGAGAGAAUUAACUUGGCUAAAGAAUUAGGAAACAAUUGAGGGAUUUUUUAAGAAAUUAAUUCUCCAACCGCCACUUUUGGAUCUUUUCUAUCUACAACUAGUUACCAAAACACUAGCACAUAGUAAGAAAUCGGGAUAAUUUCAGAAACCUCCCUUGAGGCUUUUAAUAAUCUCAAGAAGCUCCCCUCAAUAUUUUAAAAUUACACGUACCUUCCCUAUUGGAGCAAAAGUACUCUACUACCCCUAAUAGGAUACUCAAAAGACUUUUUUUAUGGGAAAAAAGAACCUCAGAAAUCCAAGCGAAAGCAAAAAAAUCAAUUUAUUUUCUCUUUUAGCCUUUAACGCUUUUGCCUUCUACCUUUGCUCACUUUCCCAUGCCAAUCUUCCUAUAACCACUUUCCCAAUCCCCUUUCCCCAACUUUUCUCCUCUACUUCAAGACUAAUUUUUGUCCAUCAAUCCUGGCUUGUGCUUUGUUCCAUUCCCUUCCCUUCUCCUUCUUUGAUUUCCCCUACAUCGCCCUUUCUCUUUGCAAAAGUGACUAGGCUCAUCUCUCUCUUUUUUCCCCUUAUUCUAAGUGUAGUGGGUUUGAUUAUUUUGCAUCUAUUUUAUUUGGUUUUGGUUGAUUAUGGGUGAUAAAACUUGGUGAUGUCAAAUAUCAAAAGUUUGAUAGAUGGAUAUUGGGCUUUAGACAAUGAUUUGCUAGAAAAAAAUGGCUGCAAUGAGAGGAAAAGGCAAGGGGAUUUGAAUGUGGGGUUGAUUGUUGAUGAAUUGUUGUUUUGGACAAAAUUUGAGGUUGAGUUUUGUCAAAUUUGGUAGCAAGUGGCGAGAUUUGUUCAGGUUUCGGGAAAUAAAUUGGAUUGUGGUUUCUUGGGCACCCACAGUUGUUGGAAUUGGUUUUGAUUCAAAUAAAGGUGGUUACUUGAUUUUCCUAAUAGUGUUGCUUAAGAGCACACGAUCAUCAAAAUUCCUUAUUUUUAUCUUUUUUUUUUUGUAGAAAAGAUUUCAUGACUUUCGUGAUAGUCUAAUUUGGAAGAAGGCAAUCAAGGGAUGCAAUCAACAUUUAGCAAAAGCUCUUGUUCUUUUCUUUCUAUUUUUUAGGGUAAAAAGGGUAGUUUAGGGUAUUUGAAGGAAAUGAUAGUCUAUUGGGUCUAUUUUGAAGCAUAAAUAGUGAACGUAAGGGAGGUUGGUGUAAUUUCUGAAACCUAAGGGGAAUUGUCUAAAUUGUCCGAGACCUCAGAGAAGGUUUUCGAAAUUAUCCCUAAGAAAUCAAAUGCGAAACUUGAUUAGUACACACACACACGACACUGCACCACGGCACGCGUGUGUUGAGAACUGAUGUCCGUAACCAACGACAAGCAGGUUUUCAAUUUUUUUUUCCUUUCCUGGAUUCUCCAGAGAUGGUGUCAGCUUCUAUUAUUGAUGAGCAGGAGGAAAUCCACAAUAUACAGUACACAUCACCCAUAUUCUUUUUAAUUGAACAAUGUAUGAAAUUAUGGUGAUUCGAAAUUAAAUUAUAUGUUUAUUGGGCAACGAAUCCAAAAUAAGAAUUGGAAAUGUAUUGUGGCAACAAUUGUUAACUUAGGCUACAAAUGAUCAAAAUAAAUAUUUAAGAUUUAAUAUGACAUUAUGGGUUCAAAAUAUAGUUACUUGUUAUGAAACAACUAAAAGUGUGGAUGUCCAUUUGUAUUCUCAAGAGGAUCAAUUCAUAAUUCAUUGCUCCCAAGAGGAUUAAUUCAUAAUUCAUUGCUACAUUAUGUGAAGGAAUUACAUUAGAUGAACGGUUUCAAUCCAUAAGAGCUAUUCAUGUAUUGGAUGAACCGUUUCACAUGGCUAUUCAUGUUCUUGUAGUAAUAAGUAUUUAAUAGAAUUGAUGUAUGUUUAAUUUUGUAGUACCUAUAUAUAGAGGUACCUUGGCACCUCUUGGCUGUCCUUUUUGAUUAAUUUGAAUAAUAAGAAAAUCAUUCUCUAUUUCUAUACUUCUUUCUCUAAUAUUUCAAUUCUUAUUAUAGUAGUUCAUUAUUUUUUUAGUUUUACAACACGUUAUCAGCACGAGUCUCUAUUUUUGAAUAAAAAACUGAAAAUGGAGCCUAUACCUUAAAAAAAGCAAAAAAUGUGAUUCUGCUGAAAUUCUGCAUGUAUUUUUCCGGCAACUUCUAUCUACUUAUUGAGAAAUGGAUGCCAAAUAUUUGGGAUUAAAUAAUGGUGAUGAUGACAUUUGUCUCAUUGAUUGUACUACUACGCACACUAUAUUGAAAAAAAAAAUUCUUGUAUGAAAAUGGGAGAGACAAAUGUUAAUACCAUAAGUGGUAGUGCAAAAUUGAUUGAAAGUUCUGGAAGAGCCACUCUAUUUCUUCCUGAAAGGACUAAAAUUGUCGUAAAUAAUGCACUACUAUCUCUCAAGUCUUGAAGAAAUUUAUUCAGUUUUAAAGAUAUCUGCGAAAAAUGGAUAUCAUAUCGGGACAAUAAAUGAGACAAAUGGAGAAUUUUUAUUAAUCACAAAUAUCAUUUCUGAGCAGAAAUACGUAGUAGAAAAAUUACCUUCUUUUUCUUCUGGCUUAUAUUAUGCACAAAUUAGUGCAAUUGAAAUUUAUCACCUAGGAGACCAGAAUUCUACUCAUCCCAAUAAUUUUAUGAUUUGGUAUGAUUGUCUCGAAAAUCCUAGAUAUAUAAUGAUGAGGCAAAUAAUUGAGAAUUCACAUGGUCACUCAUUGAAAAAUCAAAAGAUAUUAAAAGCAAAUAAAUUCUCUUGUGUUGCUUGUUCCCACGGAAAAUUAAUUAUUAGACCAUCACCAGUAAAAGUUGGGACUGAAUCCUCUACAUUUCUAGAACGAAUUCAUGAUGAUAUAUGUGGACUUGUAGAUCCACCAUGUGGACCAUUUCGAUAUUUUAUGGUGCUAAUUAAUGCAUUAACUAGAUGAUCACAUGUAUGUUUAUUAUCUACUCGCAACUUGGCGUUUGCGAGAUUGUUUGCUCAAAUAAUUAAAUUGCGAGCACAAUUUUCAAACUAUCCAAUAAAGAAAAUUCAUCUAGAUAAUGCUGGUGAAUAUUCGUCACAUGCUUUUGACGAUUAUUGCAUGUCCAUUGGAAUAACUGUUGAACAUCCUGUAACUUAUGUUCACAUUCAAAAUGGUUUAGCCGAAUCAUUUAUUAAAUGGCUAUAAUUAAUUACUAGACCAUUGUUGAUGAGAUCUAAACUUCCUUCAUUUGCUUGGGAACAUGCUAUAUUACAUGUAGCAAUACUUGUGAGAAUUAGAUCGACAAGUUAUCAUACUUAUUUUCCCCUAUAAUUAACUUUUGUUUUUGAGUCCAAUAUUUCUCAUUUACGAAUAUUUGGUUGUUCGAUUUAUGUUCUAAUUAUACCGUCCCAACAUCGUAAAUUAGACCCGCAAAGAAGAUUGGGGAUAUAUGUUGAGUAUGAAUCACCUUUAAUUAUUAAGUAUAUGGAACCAUUGACAGGUGAUUUAUUUACUGCGAGAUUUGCAGAUUGUCAUUUUGAUGAAUCACAUUUUUCGACAUUAGGGGGAGAUAAAAAUCAACCGAAAAAGAAAAUCACUUGAAAAAUAUCUUUGAAUUUCCUCGAUUCUCAUACCAAAGAAUGUGAACUAGAAGUUCAAAAGAUUAUACAUUUGCAAAAAAUUACAAAUCAAUUACCGGACGCAUUUAAUGACUCCAGAAAAGUUACUAAAUCACAUAUUCCUAUUGCAAAUGCUCCGAUUAAAUUAAUGUCUUUGAAGGACAAAUUACAAAUGUUAACGAGUCUAAAGCGUACCUAAAGCGUGGAAGACCUCUUGGUUCCAAAGAUAAAAAUUCUCGAAAGAAAAGAGGAGUAGAUGAAUCAACAAUUAGUGACAAAAUUCAACUUCCUGAAGAGGUCGCUCCUAAAGAGCCAAUUCUUGAAGAGAAUGAAAUUAUAGAAAAUUCAUUAAAUUUUGUCAUUUCAGGAAAAAGUUAGAAUCGAAAAGAAAUAAUUAUUGAUAGUAUUUUUGCAUAUAAUAUACCACUUGAUAUUAUGGUAGAGAAUAAGGAUCACGAGCCUAGAUAGGUUGAUGAAUGUCGACGUAGAAAUAAUUGGGCAAAAUGGAAAGAUGUGAUCCAAUCUGAAUUGAACUCACUGGUUAAAAGAAAAGUUUUUGGACCUGUAGUCCAAACACCUGAAGGUGUAAAGCCAGUAGGAUAUAAAUGGAUAUUUGUGAAAAAAAAAAUGAGAAAAAUGAAAUCGUGAGGUAUAAAGCAAGACUUCUAGCCCAAGAAUUUUCACAAAGGCUUGGAUUUGAUUAUGAUUACACGUAUUCACCUGUAGUGGAUGCUAUCACAUUUAGAUAUCUUGUGAGUUUUGCAGUACAUGAAAAAUCAGAUAUGCAUCUAAUGGACGUCGUUACUGCAUAUUUAUAUGAAAAUCUUGAUAAUGAUAUUUAUAUGAGAAUCCCCGAAGGAUUCAACAUGCCUGAAGCAUACAAAUCAAAUCCUAAAGAUAUUUAUUCUAUUAAAUUACAAAGAUUUUUGUAUGGGCUUAAACAAUCUGGACGUAUGUGGUACUGCCUCAAUGAAUGUUUAACUAAAGAAGGCCAUACCAAUGAUCCAAUAUAUCCAUGUGUCUUUAUCAAGAAAAAUGGAUCAAAUUUUGUGAUAAUUGUUAUAUAUGUUGAUGAUUUAAAUCUGAUUGAAACUCUUGAAGAGAUUAGUGUUGAAUAUUUGAAGAAGAAAUUUGAGAUCAAAGAUUUUGGAAAAACAAAAUUCUGCCUUAGUUUACAAAUUAAGCAUUUGAAAAGUGAAAUUUUUGUCCACUAAACUGCUUAUACCCCGGAAGGUAUUAUAGCAGUUUUAUAUGGAUAAGGCACAUACAUUAAGUACCCCAAUGGUCAGAUCAUUAGAUCCUAAUAAGGAUCCUUUUAGACUGCGAGAGGAAGAUGAAGAGAUACUUGGUCCUAAAGUACCAUAUCCCAAUACAAUUGGUGCACUAAUAUAUCUUACUAAUUGUAGAAGACCUGAUAUAUCAUUUGCAAUAAAUUUAUUAGCAAGAUUUAGUUCCUCGCCCACAAGACGACAUUAGAAUGGUAUUAAACAUAUUUUUCGUUAUCUCCAAGGAACAAUUGAUCUUGGUUUAUUUUAUUCAAAUAAAUCUAAGCUUGAAUUGCAUGAUUAUGCUAAUGCUGGAUAUUUAUCUGACCGGUAUAAAGCAAGAUCUCAGACUGGUUAUCUAUUUAUACAUGGAGGUACAGCCAUUUCUUUGCGAUCUACAAAGCAAUCGUUAGCCGCCACUUCAUCGAAUCAUGCUGAAAUAAUAGCAAUUCAUGAGGCUAGUCGAGAAUGUGUUUGGUUAAGAUCAAUGACCCACUAUAUCCGUAAGAGUUGUGGGUUAUCCUCCGAAAAAGAAAAUCCUCCAACUAUAUUAUAUGAAGAUAAUGUAGCUUAUAUAACUUAAUUGAAAGGAGAAUAUAUUAAAGGAGAUAGAACAAAACAUAUUUCACAAAAAUUCUUUUGUACUCAUGAUUUACAAAAGAAUGGUGAAAUUUAUGUGCAACAAAUCCGAUCAGAUAAUAAUUUGACAGAUUUAUUUACCAAUGCAUUGCCAACUGUAAUAUUUGAGAAAUUGAUGAAGAAUAUUGGAAUGCGACAAUUAUAAGAUCUCAAAUGAUAUUUGCAUCAGGGGAAGAAAUCAAUACACAAAAAUAGUGUACUAUUUUUCCAUCACUAGGGUUUUCGUCCCAUUGGAUUUUUUCCUAAUAAGGUUUUAAUGAGGCAUAUUCUUUAUGUAAUGGACAUCCAAUGGGGAGUGUUAUGAAACAACUAAAAGUGUGGAUGCCCAUUUGUAUUCUCAAGAAGAUCAAUUCAUAAUUCAUUGCUCCCAAGACGAUUAAUUCAUAAUUCAUUGCUACAUUAUGUAAAGGAAUUACAUUGGAUGAACGGUUUCAAUCCAUAAGAGUUAUUCAUGUAUUGGAUGAACCAUUUCAUAUGGCUAUUUAUGUUCUUGUAGUAAUGAGUGUUUAAUAGAAUUGAUGUACGUUUAAUUUUGUAGUACCUAUAUAUAGAGGUAUCUUGGCACCUCUUUAGUGUACUUUUUGAUUAGUUGGAAUAAUAAAAAAAUCAUUCUCCAUUUCUGUACUACUUUCUCUAAUAUUUCAAUUCCAAUUAUAGCAGUUCAUUUUUUUUUUUGGGUUUACAACAUUACUCAAAGAAGAGAGUUAUUGGACUAUAUGUUUAUUGACCUCUACUAACUUAUUUAAGGUCAUUUCAUAUCACUAUCCAAAGAAAAAUUCUUGGGCGUUAACAUUUUUCUUACAUGCCAAGACUAUUAAUGAAAGUUGACCCAAAUCUCUCUCUCUCUUUCUCUCAAUUCUUAGGACUGAUGCCAAUUCUUACCAUUUAGAAAGAAAAAUUAGAUUGUUUAUAUAUAUGAUGAGUUCCCUCUAAGUCAUGGUUAAGAAAAAUUCUUAGUUUUAUGAAAUGUGAAUUUCCUUUUCGUUGUCUUUAUUCAUUAGUAUUAUUGGGGUUAUUGUAUUAUGAUUGCAAUGCACAGAUACAUGGAUUUUUGACAUUUUUUUUCUCAUUUUUUCUUUUUAAUCGACUCUGACUAUGUCUCAAACUCGAGACAUCAAACCUGGACACGACUUUUGUCCAAAAUGCUUGUAAAAAAUCAGAAGAAUAAUUUUGGACCUUAUUAUUUAAUAAUGGUACGAUUAUGAGAGUCAUUCCAGGUUAAUUAUCAAACUUGUAACUUGAAAAUAAUGUCGACAUCAUGUCAUUAUUAUUUUCUAGUUUCAUAGAAAAAUGAAGUAUUCUCCAACUCGACAUUAUCAUAUUAUUCUCAAUUGGCAGCUCAUGUGAGAAAGACAAGAAAUUCACAAUCAACUGGCCAAGAGAGUGCCAACAAAGAAAGCACUAAAUGGCUUAAACAAAGCAUGCAAAUUUGCUUAGCACUUAAACAAUAGACACCUAAAUCAACCAUGUCACUGUCUUGCCAAAAAAGGGCAUUAAAGUAAAAACAACUCAUGCCUAACACAGGUAACAAACUUCAGCACCUUCACUUCACCGCCACGUCAUCAACAACAUUUGCAAAUUUCCAAGGAAGUCCACGCACUAAAGGUGCCCAUGCCCUUAGGGGACCUCAGGUUAGUGUUCUUAACAUCAACUCCUGUCUUUAUAUUCUUAGGAAAUAUUGAAAUUAAACAUUAUCACUAAUCCUGAUUUCCUUAUGCUAUAUUUGUACACAAUUUGGCAACAAGGUUGUCCUUUUUUGGGCCAAAUUGGACAAGUAAAAAAAAGAAAAUUAAAAGGUUUAUCUGCAAACUGUAGUUCGGCCUGCCUCUUUUUUUUUUUUUUUUGGGGAUAAGAUCGUCAUGUAUCAAUAUUUCUGUACUUAGCAUUGGCUUCUUCUCGCCUGAAGAACACACGAACCACCGGAUGAAAGUGGUGAAUGAAAGUGCACUUAACCCUUUUAAUUUUUCAAAACAAUGCUUUUAGAAAAAAUAAUAAAGACUUUUUUGAAUUUAAUUUUAGAGAAGAAGAAUUUUAAACUUUUUUGAAUUUAAUCUUACAGAAGAAGAAGUUUAAAAUGUACUUUAAUUUUCACAACUGAUGAUGAGAAUAGCAAAAUGUAUACGGACGGUGACAAAAGUGCCGUCUUAUCCUUUUGCUGACGGCCCGUUUUCCAAUGAGAGGAUGCCUCUGCUUCGUAUUUUAUCCAUAUUGAUAUAUAUUCUUUUCUGUCCCCCUAACUAUUAAAUGUGAAAGGUUGCCCACCAAAUUUGACGAAACCGUUUAUCCUAAUUGAUUAUUAUCCAUAGGGCAUAACUUUAAUAUUCUUCUUCCAACCCGUCCGUCAAUGACCACUAACCACCUCUAAUCUAUUCUCAAAUUUUAAUGAAAUUGCGCAAUUAGUUUUCAUUUCUCACUUUUAUUUCAAAUUUGGUCUCAAUUUAAUGUGAAUCCCAAUAAAUAAGACCGGAGUUGAAAUCAAAGAACGUAUUUCAAUCACCAUCGGAUAAAUUCUUCAUGUCUAGUUUUGUCCUUGAGAUGCAUAGAAAAUGUAAGCUGAUCUUGCAGUCUACGAGAAAAACGAAGUCUAAGAGAAUAAUUUUGUCAAAACUUGACAAUGGAAUGAACCGGUGGUCGCUGGUUGGCAGCUGCUAGAAGUCAUAGCAGUUUUAAAACAUAAUUGCAGCAAGUAAAAGAUUAAAACUACGUUGUGUACUGUUAACGACUUACAUUGACAAAAUGGUUAAGGACAGAGUUGAAAGAUGAAUCAAACUGUUCGACAUUCGAUUCGAAUUUGACUUGGUAAAAACUUAUUCCAAUUUGAUUUGUCAGCUAGUCAAAUCUAAUUUAAAUAGUAUUUAACUUUGAAACUUGAUAAAAAGUUUGUUCAAACUCAGUUUACUAAAUAAACAAGUCAAAUUUGAACAAAAUUUCAAACUCAUUAAAAUAAUUAAAUACGUUUGAAUACUAGGAUAUUCGAUUUAAUUAAAUGCGAUUGCACCCCUAAUUAAAGCAUGUACUUUUUUUAUAAAUUUAGGAAUCAACAUUAUACAUUUAAUAGCUAGCUAGAGGGUCAAAAAGUUAAUUGCCUUAAAAUUCUUUUAGCAGCCAUAAAGUAUAGUUGGAGGGAUUCCCUUGAAAUUGAUUAGAUUCUUCUAUGUGACUAAAGAAUUUCGGGUGUGACGUAUUACUAGUCCUACCCUAAAAAAAAUGGUAUUACUAGUCCUUUUUUUCUUUUUUAGCGUGCCCCCGCCGUGGAGUGUGGGGAGGGUGGUCUGUGCGAGAAUUCUAGAUGGGGUACAAGGUGCCAAAGUUCACCUUAUUCAAAGUAAACAACCUUCCAUCUCAGAUGUUGAAUUUCCUGGCAAUUGCGUAUAUAUUACAAUCUUUUACCAUGACUUUAGAGGACAGCUAAAUUUGCUUGCUAUUAAAUAAUAUUUUCGGUAGUCUAUAAAUACUCUUGGUCCUAACUGCUUCUUGCACCACAUAAUUCUUUCAAGAACUACCAAAACCUUCUUGAAAUCCCUCUUUUUCCUUUUAGUUCAUUUCCAAGAAACAAAUUGAACCAUCAUGGCCCCUGUCACUUCCAGUUAUGAGGUCACCUGCUCAAUCCCUCCUGCAAGGUUGUUCAAGGCCACCAUCCUUGAAGAGAAGCAUCUUCACAAGAUCUUGCCACAGGGCGUUAAGAGUGUCGAAAUCCUUGAAGGAGAUGGUGGAGUUGGCACAAUUAAGUUGACCACAUUUGUUGAAGGUAAGAUAUCAAUACAAAGUGAUUAUGUUCACAAAUUUGAAGUCUUCAAAUUGCUCACUUUUUUUUUCUUUUAUUUGGGAAAAGCUAAUGACUUUUUUUUUUUUUUUUGGUUGGGUUAAAUAUUUAGGUGGCGAGCUUAAGACUGCCAAACAGAAAGUUGAUGGAAUUGACAAAGAAAAAUUUACAUACAGUUAUACUGUACUUGAAGCUGAUGGAUUUAACGAUGUAAUCGAGAAAAUCUGUUGUGUCAUCAAAUUUGAACCCUCUGCUGAUGGAGGUUCAAUCUGCAAAACCACUAAUACAUACUACCCCAAAGGUGGUGCUCAGAUCAGUGAGGAACACGUCAAGGGAGGAAAAGAGAAGGGUUUGGGAAUGGUUAAGGCUGUUGAGGCUUACCUCCACGCAAAUCCUACUGCCUACAACUAAUUAUAAUGAAUGCUACUGAAGGACUCUUCGACAUAUUUUCUUCAAGAUUGAAGUAUAAACUGAGGGUGUCUGUUUCCUUUUUUGCUUGGUUUGCUUUAAGCUGUUUGGUUGAGUUAUUUGCAGCUAUGAUCAUAAUAUUUGAUCGAAGUGUGCUUUUCUUGCAACCUUUGUAUCGUUACAAGGAAUAAAAUCUUGUUUGGAGCUUUUACUUUGUUGUUUGCAAUGAAAUAAACUAUUUUGGGUUCAAUUUCAUAUAGAGUGAA
rnacentral:lncRNA from 1 species